UGUUAAGUUAAUGUGAGCAAAAGUAGGAGCCGGCUCCGUGAUAUCUGGGUAGGUCCUCAGGCUUGAGCAACCACACAAAUCAAGCUUCCUCAACUUCAAAUUGAAAAUGGUGCUUGGAAAAGUUUGAAGUGAAUUACAGUGGGUAAGGUCUAACUUGCAUAGUCCGGUGAGGCUUCCAAUGGAAGAUGGAAUAAUCUCAAGAUUCAAGCAACGGUGCAAACUCAGUUCUUCAAGCCCUACCAAACGUGUCCAAGAUGAAGGUAGUGCCUGUAUGGCUGUGUCGUCUAAGAUGAGCACCGUUAAAUCUUCCAACGUGUCCUGAAUCUCGGGUAAAUUUUCCAAUUUUGAGCAACCCCGGAGAGAAAGUUGCUUUAGGAAUUUCAUAUCAGAAAGAUGAAAUGGAAAGAUUGUAAGAGAAGAACAGUGAGAGAGAUCUAAGCGAUAGAACUGCUUGCGACUAAAGGUUAAGGACACACCUUCCUUGAGUUUUGUGAACACUUUUAAGUGUAUGGUAUUAUUAGCCACUUCUUCUUCCUUAUAUCUGUCAAAAGUAAUUGAGAAAAUUUGACUGGAAGUUGGGAAAAGACCAUGGCGUCGACGUUUACGACGCCGUCGUGAGAAAUUGAUCUCUUUCAUCAUAUCCGGUUCCAGACGAGGGAAUCUUGAGAAAGUUUGACGUUGACGCUCGAGUAUGACAUGAGGGAAUCUGGGUUCACUGGUUGAAAACAUAUUAAGCUUCGGACAACGGGAAAUAUUAAUCCAUCCUGGUGAUGUGGAUAAAAUGUUGCUGGGAAUAUUUACACUUUCGAGAUUAGAACAAUUAUCUAAACAUAAAUAACUGAGCUUGGUGAGGAAUAUCGAGGAGUGAACUUCAAUCAACUUUUCACAAGAACUCAGAAUUAUUUCUUCAAUAUUUGGUGACAUAGAAAGGUCUGGUAUUCUAGUAAGUUUCAGAGAACCAGUCAGGUCGACCCUUUUCAACUUGGGUAAAUUCUGCCACAAAUACUAAAUGAAUGAGGUAACAAAUAAAAACUACUUUAUCUAUUUUUCUUCGGUAAACUAAUUUAUUUUUCAGAAAUGAUGAAAAUUAUAACUAAACUAUAUAAAAUUCCAUUUUAUUCUACUCAUCCUUAAUUUUUUUGUGAAAUCUUGAUUUUGGGAUAAUAUCACUUAAACUUAAGAAAUAUUUGGCAUUAAUGAACUCUAAACAAAUUCAUAUAAGAUAUACAUCACUUUCAAUCCAAAAUCUUAAACUAAUAGGUUUAUGAAUUUUCUUUAUAUGUUGUUUUAAAAAGUUGAGACUAAAUUGAACUUUUGAAAAUUGGGAGGAUGAAAUUAUAUUUUGUCUAUUAAUAUAGGGAUUAAAAAAAUAAUUGAAUCAAAUAUUACUAUUUUUGUGAUGUAUAUUUAUAUAUAAAUAAUUUUGAGAAUUUAGAGUUAUAUCAUAUAUAUAUAUAUAUAUAAAAUUCUUUUUGGUAAUGUAUCCUGUAAUUGUAAGCAAGUAUGAUUAUAUUAAGUGGGUGCGUUUCAAAUAGAGGAGACUACGCACAUACAAAUAUCUCUUAUAAAGUAAGAAAACAAACAAACCGUUACUCAAGAAGAUCAUGUAAUGCAUGACAGACAACAUGGGGAGAUAUCUAUCAUCAAUAAUAAAACGAUGUUUUCUGAGAGUUAAAAUUAAACCUUAUUUAAAAUAAGUCCAUCUUUCCAUAUUUUAUAAUUUGUUGUAUAUUAUAUUGAAGUUUAUGUUAUAAUAAAAAAAAUGACUUAAUUAAUCAAAUAAUGUGGAGAAGGCACAAAGGAAUUGCAAAUGAAAACCAGUAGAUGUAUAAUACAGAAAACAUGCUUGUAUAACUUAUUUUUGUCUUUGAAAGUUUAGAACACAAAGAAACAUAGAUAGCUUGAAAAACCUGAUCUCCUUCCCAAAGUUGUUCAAGAUUGCAGCCUGGCAUUUUGAGGGUCACUAGACUUUGUGGGCAAAAGUUUGGAGGCCAAAAUCUUUGAAGGAAAUUGUCCCAAUAAAGAAUCUUUAAAGUGUCCGGCAGAUCUACAAGAGAUGAUUCAAGAGACUCAUAAGAUUGUCCAUCUUUUCGAAACUUUGUGCAUGUACUACAGCAUCUUUUACUUUGUUCGUAUGUAGUAAUAUACACUGUAUUGCAUCUGACCCCUGAAAGUAAAUCAAUGUAAUUAGAAGAAAAAAACAUGAAAUGUUGCAUUGCAGGAUGUUUGAUGACAGCUCAGUGGUUUGCAAUUUUUCACAAAGUAAAUCCAUGUUCAAUUGAGUAACGACAUAAUACCUUGUUCUUUCUUAAAACCUCUCAAAUUUCCUCAGCAUUAAACAAUCGGCUGCGUUUUCCAGGAUGCUGAGGACACUCUUUACGAACAAUUUCUUGACUCAUUUCUUGUAUUAGAUCGUGCAUCACAAUUCUACCAUCAAAGACAGAUAUUAGGCCCCUAUCUUUGAGAAUAUCCAUUCCAAUCUUAGAAGAGAAACCACAGUCAGCAAGUGUUUCUGCUACCACAAUCUCCUGGCGUCCUCUAUAAAAGCAAGCUAUGUCAAGAAAUAUAUUCUUCUCCUCCUCCUCCAGCCCAUCAUAACUUAAUUUUAAUACAUUGAAAAUAUCAAGAUGUUGGCCCUUUUCCAACUUUUGCAACUGACUCUCCCAUGCUUCUCUUGUUCUGCCAUAAAGCAAUGACCCCAAAAUCUAGAGAGCUAAUGGAAUCCCUUUUGCAUAUCUCAACACCUUUUCUGACAGUUCCCUGUAAGCAAUUUCUUCUGAAGAUUUUUGUUUAAAAGCAAGUAAACUAAAAAGUUUCUGAGAAUCAUCAAAAUUCAACUCCUUAACUUCGUAGAUAUCAUCAGCUCUAGCAUUCUUAAGCACUUGUUUGUCUCUACUGGUGAUAAUCAUUCUACUGCCCUGCCCAAAACUAUCACUCCCUCCUAUUAAUUUUUUAAGUAGAGCUGAAUCGGUAACAUCAUCAAGAAUGAGGAGAGCCUUUGUCCGUUUCAGCCUUUCAUUGUAAUAUGAUAAACCAUGGGAUUUCUUUAUCUCUUCCUUUAGAAGCUCAGACAGAUAUUUUGUUCUGAUACUGUCUAUUCCAUCUUUUUGUAUUUUUUCUUGAACGUCUAAAACAAGGCUGCUGGAACCAAACUGCAAAGCCAAUGUGUGAUAUAUUUGAUAACAAAUUGUAGUUUUUCCUAUUCCUCCCAUGCCACAAAUUCCUAUGAUCCGAACAUGCGGUGACUCAAGAUGCAACAAGGACUGAAUUCCUUCAAUGUGUUUUUCAAUGCCGAUGAUUCCUUGAUCAUAACUGGUGGAAUAACGAUUCAAUUUUCUCAAAAUAUCUUCCACAAUUUCUUCAACAAGUGUGUGUUCUGGCCUGGCAGAUGAUUUAGAAAAUAAAGUAUAAGUAUUCAAGCACAAAAGCUAAACUAAACUAAAGAAAAAAUCAGAGUUAAGAGGAGUGAACAUCAUUGAAUAGAUUCACAUAUCGAUUCUAGUUUCGAGUUUUGGAUAAAAUAAAUAAAUUAAAAAGUUGAAGGUAAGUAUAGGACGUUAUCUUCGUAUAUUAGUUUGGUUGGUUUAGAAAUUGCAAAUCAAGAUGGCAAAAAUACUACAGUAACCGUUUGUGACUUCUGAUAAUAGGGAGCAGAUUUGUAGGUACAAAGUUAAGCUAUAACAUGUGAUAUGGUUCAGAUCCAUGACCGACUAAAAGAAAGACUUGAUUUAUGGUGAGAUGAACACAAUUUUAGUAAAUGAAAAGAAAUCCUGUUUAUCUCGAAAUUAUCUAAUAAAUAUAAUGACCUGGUGACUUUUGAAUCCCAGCCUGAAAGUCCAGCAGCUUCGGUGAGAGCAUCCUUCCAUCCUUGCGCUUUGACCAUGUCGUGCAUAAACCGCUGUUCAUGAUCAUCGAAUGAUUCUUUGUAUCUUUCUUCCUGCUUCCUAAUAGUUGAUGGAUCCACCUUGUAGAAAACAGGUAUCACAUCCCUUCCAAAUCUCUUCUUGCAUUCAAGUAUCUUACUGAGUUCAUUCAAGCACCAAGUGGAAGAUGCAUAGUUUUGGGAGAAAACGAUGACAUAAAUCUUUGAUUCUUCUAUUGCAGAGAGCAGUGCAGGUGAAAUUUCUUCGCCCCUGAGUAGUCUAUAAUCAAUAUAUGCUUCAAUGUUCUUCCUUUGCAGUGCUGCAUAAAGGUGGCUAAUGAAGUUGUCACGUGUGUCUUCGCCUCUGAAGCUGAGAAACACAUCAUGCCUUGUUAGAGAAGUAGACACGGCCAAUGAUGAAGGACUUUCUGACAUUGGAGUCAAUUUUCUCUCCUUUCUCUGCAAUUCUCAGGUCUCUUUCUUUGUACUGUUUCUACCACAAAUCUACUCUGCUGCUCUGGACUCAUUAUAAAACACAAGUCAACUUUUGAAAAAGUCUUUCAAUUUUCUUAACAUUCCUUUCACAGAUAUGUGUUCUGGUCAGACAUCGUAGUCAGCAGAAACUAAAGAAAAAGAAAAAUAUUAAUUUAAUAGAAUAGUCAACAAAUUGCAAAAUAAGUAUGGAAUCUAGAUUUAUAUCAUUAUCACGUGUGGAAACAUAGCUACGUCUUCUUAGAUAAAAUCCUUAUUUAAGUUUUAAUUGGGCCUUGUAGUGGGCUUUGUAAUCUGCUUUUCUUUUCUCCUAUAUUGCUUUAUAUAUACACCUCCACUUUUGCUUUCUACAUUUCAUUUUACAAAAUACAUUCUCUCAUUCUGUGUCAUUUAUCUUGCCUGAUUCCGUCCUCUCUUUAUCUUUUUCUCUCAUCCUCUUGCUUAUAAUUCUUUUGUUUUUAUUAAGAAAUACACUAUAAUUCUAAUUUAAUCAUAUACUAUAAUUAUGCUAAUCAUCAAUUAGUACUAUAUAUUAUUAAUGAUCUGCGUAUAUAUUAUUUAUGAUUUGCGGAUAAGACAAUAGAUUCAAUAAAUUCUAGAUAAAAUAAAUUUUAAAUGAAUAUGAUAAAAAUAUAUUAAAAAAUGAACUUUAUUGAAUCGAUUGAGUAUCUCUAUUUUAAAGACUUGUAAGAAUAAUAGGAAUAACAAUAUAUUAAUAUUAAUAUGUUUCUUAAUAAAUUUCAUACCCACUAUCUAUUUAUAAAUUAAUAUAUUAUAAAUAUCUAAUGAUGUCUUAUUUCUCUAACAUUUAAAAUUAAAUUUGUAGAUUCUACAAAACAUUACAUUUUGAUUUUAAUAUUUAUAAAAUAUUUUUUAUUCUCAUAUUUAAAAAACAAAACUUAGUUUGAGUGUAUUCCUUAGUUACUUACUACUCAUCACCAGCCGCCAACAGCGUGAUGGCUUCACUCUCCGUUCGCGCCACAACCACCUCUUAUCGGGCCUCCUUCCGGCCCAAGCCCACCUCGGGGCCCACCAGGGUCCGAAUGUCCCUCCGCGAUGACGGCCCCGCCAUCGCCGUCGUCGGCGUCACCGGCGCCGUUGGCGAGGAGUUCCUCUCCGACCGCGACUUCCCCUACCGUUCCAUCAAAAUGCUGGCCUCGCAGCUCUCCGCCGGCCGCCGCAUCAUCUUCGAGGACAGGGACUACGUCGUGGAGGAGCUCACAGCGGAUAGCUUCGACGGCGUCGACAUUGCGCUCUUUAGCGCCGGCGGUGGUAGACUAUAGCUCCGCAUUUGGGAUGGACGAGAAGGUGACGCUGGUUAUUCCCGAAGUGAAGCCCCAAACGAUGCAACACAUCAAAGUUGGAACGGGAAAAGGCGCUCUGAUUGCGAACCCUAAUUGCUCCACCAUUAUUUGCUUGAUGGACAUACUAAUUAAUAUCAAUUAUAACAAAUAAUGAACGUUUCUGGUCAUUUCUUGUACUUCGCGUUAUUUCAUAACAGUAGUUUUUUUAAAUAAAUUAAGAAAAAUAUUCAUUUUUAAAUUUAAUGCACUUUUAAAUAAUUUGACUAUUAUAAACAUAAUCACUUAUAAAAAUAAUUUUAGAGUAGUUGAUAUAAUUAAAAUAAAAUAUUUUAUUAUUAAAGUAAAAAUUAUAUAUAAAUAAAAAAUAGGUUUUAUUUUAAAAUAAUAUUCAAUUUUAUAAAAGUUUUUUCUUUUUGUCUUUUUUUUUUUAUAUUUCUAACCAUAUUUUUUCGUGAGGUUGAUAAUAGAAUCUCACUUUGGAUUUAUGGGAAUGAAUAAUGAAUUAGUUUUUAGUUUUCUAUUUAUCUAUAUAUAAAGGUGAUACGGUGACAAAUUCCAAAAUUUUAUUAUAAUGUUUGCUUUGUUGAUUGAAAUAGAUGUUAAUUGAUGAAAAAGAUUGAAAGUUUUAAACCCAAUACACCCCUCACGUCGAGGUUAGGUGGACUGAUAAGUUCAGCAAAAUCUCGUUAUGAUAGUUUUUAGAUGACUCUGAUACCACAAUAAAAAAUAAACUUUAAAUUUAACUCAACCUUACAAAACUAAUUUAUAAAGUGAGCUAUGUAUCCCUAGUCGAUGUAGAAUCUCUAACAAUGAUUUAAAUGAAUUGUUAUAUGCUUUAUGAAGUUUAACCUUUAUUUUUACUUGACAAAUUGGAUUUUAAUGAGGUAUAUAUGCUCUCAGCAUCAAAUCCGCUUAACGAAAUUUAUAUGUGUCAAGCGAAUUUGGACAUGUAGAGUUUGAUGUGCUCUUGGCCUCAAAUCCGCUCAAUGUUUUUUUUUCCUGUACUUAAGCAAACUUACAUCCAGAUUUUGGAGUACUUUCGAACUCAAAUUUGCUCAAAGAAAUUUUCUUAUGGUAAGCAAAUUUAAGCGGCUAUUGUUUGGAUGUUCUCUGCCUCAAAUUCGUUCAGUGAAAUUUUCCUGUGCUAAGGAGAUUUCUCUGGGCUUAAGCCCCAACUUCAUGGGCUCGACCCAUUUUGACGACAUUUGUCAUCUUUGCUUAGAUAUCUUUUGGUUUGUUUUCUAUAGGUCAUGAAAUUGAAUUAAAUCUUUUGAAAUUUAUCAUUUUGUAAAUUGUAAGUGAUUACAACUUUCUAAUGUUCAUGCAACAUGUGUUUAAAAUAAGUAAAUCUAACAAAUAAAUACUCGUUACAUAUUCAAUGGAAAGCUUUUUCUUUUAAUUCUUUGGUGUUUUAUUUUGAUGAUGUAUAUAUUUGAAAAUCAAUGUAUGAAUGGAUAAUGCUUUAUGAUAUAAUAAUAUUACAAUGUAAAUGUUAUUUAUAUACUAUCACAUGAUAAAUUAAAAUUUAAUAAGAUAGUUAAGGAUGUUAUAAUUAUUCUUUUAAUUUAUUUUAUUUCACUGUAUAUUUAGGUGUAUUACGUAGAAUGUAUAGUUAAAAAAAUAAUGUUAUUUUGAAAUUUAAAGAAUGACGUAUAGAAAUAAACAAGCUUUUGUUAAAAUUAUACUAUUUGAAAAGGAACACAGAACAAUAUUGACAAUUAUACUUUUACUUAUUACUUAUUUUAAUUUAUUAUAUUCAUGAGUAUUAUUUUUUUUAAACAUAGAUAUUGGAUAAAAAAUAUAAAUAACAUUUAUUUAUUUCAAAUUUAAAAAUCUUUAAAAUAAAAUUAAAUAAUAUUUUUAAUUAAGAUGUGUUUUUUAACAAUUUUUUUAAUUUAAAAAAUAAUUAAUUCGGAGGAUGAUUAAAGAAAUAUUAACAAAUUAUUUCUGCGUUUAUAAUAAACCUUCAAUAAUAUUUGUACUUUCUAGCAUAUAGAAUACUUAAUGGAUCCCUUUGUGAUUUUUCUUUUCUAAAGUGCAAUUGAUAUUUUAAAUGUUUUUCUAUUUAAUUUUCCUUUCUUAAUGACACAUUAAAGGGUUCAGUGCACGAUUAAUUAUUCUCACCUUAGAUUUCAUUCAUCUCAUUCCAUUUCCACACUCAAAUCAUUCUCACAUUUUUUUCUACCUAUUUCACAAAGUUUUAUGUAAAAUAUGGAAAUUAAACUAAAAGAACCCUACUUAUAUAUUAAUAUUCAACAACUUAAAAUAUUACUAUGCAAAUUAAUCUUUCUUAAUAAUGUUAUGUAAAAAUUAAAAUGUAGUUUAGUCAUUCAUACUUAGAUGGAUAAAGAUGGUUUUAGAAAAAAAAUGCAUUUUAUUUCAAAUCUAUUACUUAUAAAAUGAGUUAUAAAAUGAGGUUUGUGAUAUUUAUUCAAAAUUUAAAUUAUAUUAUGCAUUUAUGGUUUUAUGUUUUUAAAGAAAUCAGAAACUUAGAAAAGCUCCUAAAAACUACUGAAAUCCAUAAGAUGAUAAUUAAUAAACAUCCUCUCUUAAUAACAUAACAUAUAAGAUAGGAGUCUUUACACUUAUAUUCUUCAAACAAUUAUAAGCUGUCUUCAACUUUACUGUUAAACUACAAUUAUAAAGAAUUAACAAUCUCACACACCAACAACAUUUAUAAGCCAUCACUCACAUGAAACAAGGUGCCUCAAUGUGAAAAAACCAAGAUCAAUAAGAAAUGAGGUUCCACUUAACCAAGCUGAGAAUUUUCUGGUUUUCCAACUCCAUGCACAAACCUAAUACAAUGAUAUGAUAUUCAAUCAGCAUUAAUUGGCAUAAACAGGUACAUUGUUGUAAAACUGGGAUUAUAAGGUUCCAUAGGAUGGAGAAAAGUAAGAAGAGGAUUUACCAAUUACCCUUUCAAAUGGAGCUCCUCAGGAUUUCAUAAUGCCUUCACUGCAAAUGCAACCCAAAUAUGCUAAAAAAGUUAAUGAAACUAUAUAUGAAGAGUUUCAAGAAAAUGCAACUCUGGGACAACAGAGAAACCCAUCUCAUGCUGAACAGAAACAUCAAACUAUAUCUAACAAUAACUUAGAAAUCUUUGUCAACAAUUGAACGAACCCACUCCUAAAAUGCCAUUGAAAAUGUAAAUAAAACAAAAUAAAUUAAAAACGAGAAAUUCAUAAUAAAAAUUCAACGUGUUGAAACUUAUGAUAACUCAGUUUAGAUCCUGACCAAUGAAAGACUAAUUAGCAGAAGAGGAAGAGACUAGUUGACAGGGUAGCUUUCGGCCUUUCUCUUCCUAUCUUUCCUUGUUUCUCUUGAAGACUGUGCAACAUUGCUUCCACUGGAUUCUUCAAUGUCAACAUCACCACCAUAUUUAUCAUCUUUCUUUUUGGUAUAAAGGGGGCAUAUGCCGCAUUCUUUUAUUGUGAUGUCUGAUGCCAUCACUCUCACACCUGAUUUGUAACUAUACAGACUGAUCUCAAAAGUGAAGCUGCGAGCAUCACAGACCCUAAGGCUCUUGCGGCUCGCCGUUAGGGACUCCAUGUUAAAUUUCCACACGAAUGUGUGAUCUUCAUCAACACAUCUGUGUUCACCAUUCCAUUUGAAAUAGCUGUUUAACACAUCAUUAUUUAGAAUGAUCUGUGUGCCAUCAUCAUCAUCAGAUUCAAAUUUUAGACUGUAACCAAAAGAACCAUAUCUACAUUUAACAGCUUUCGUAUCUAACACUCCAAAAACCACACACAAAGCGAAACCAGUGAGCCUAUCAUCGCUGCAGAAACUUAAAUCUUCAUUUAUAGUCACUGAAUGUCCCUUCCCACGAGAAUGGAACCAACGAGGAACUGCAUUCCCUGGAAAACAGAAGAACACAGACCUAUAUGCAUCGUCGGUCAUCCUAACCCAUGCAUCCUCCUCAAUGUUAGCACGAGCACCUGAAUCCAGUUGCUGAGCAUUGGUGAAAUGAAAUUUGAAGACACCCUCUUUGGAGUUUGAGAAGUUUGGAACAAGAGAAUUUGACAUCACUCUUCUGAUGGAUGGGCAAUCCAAUGCCACGAGUUGUUUUAGAAAUGGUGGAAUCUGUGGGAUGGAUUCAAGUUUUUUGCAGUCGCUUAAAUCGAGCGAGUUCAAGCUUGAAAGAUGAGCAAUGCUCUCAGGAAGGUUCACGAUUCCGCUAUCACGCAGUGACAGUUCCAUUAAUGACGUCAAGCGACCGAUGUGGCUUGGGAUUUCUGUUAAUUUGGCACACCCCGAACAAUCAAGUUUAGAGAGAAGCUUCAGAUUAACAAUGGAGUUUGGAAGUGACUCGAGAUGAAUGCACUCUUGGAGUUCCAGGGAUCGAAGAUUAACGAAAUUGCCAAAUGAGGAAGGCAGUUCUUUAACAGCCGUAGAUGUUAAGUUAAUGUGAGCAAAAGUAUGAGCCGGCUCCGCGAUCUCUGGGAAGGUCCUCAGCCUUGAGCAACCACGCAAAUCAAGGUUCCUCAACUUCAAAUUGAAAAUGGUGCUUGGAAAAGUUUGAAGUGAAUUACAGUGGGUAAGGUCUAACUUGCAUAGUCUGGUGAGGGUUCCAAUGGAAGAUGGAAUAAUCUCAAGAUUCAAGCAACUGCGCAAACUCAGUCCUUGAAGCCCUACCAAACGGCACAAGGAUGAAGGUAGUGCCUGUAUGGCUGUGCCGUCUAAGAUGAGCACCACUAGAUCUUCCAACGUGUCCUGAAUCUCGGGUAAAUUUUCCAAUUUUGAGCAACCACUGAGAGAAAGUUUCUUUAUGAAUUUCAUAUCAGAAAGGUGAAAUGGAAAGAUUGUAAGGGAAGAACAGUGAGAGAGAUCUAAGUAACAGAGCUUCUUGCGAUUAAAGUUGAAGUGACAGAGCUUCAUGAGUUUUGUGAACACUUUAAAACAUAUAGUAUCAUUAGCCACUUCUUCUUCCUUAUAUCUGUCAAAAGUAAUUGAGAAAAUUUCACUGGAAGUUGGGAAAAAAGGACCACGGUGUCGACGUUUACCACGCCGUCCUGAGAAAUUCGUCAUAUCCGGUUCCUGACGAGGGAAUAUUGAGAAAGUUUGAAGUUGACGCUCCAGUAUCACAUGAGGGAAUCUGGGUUUACUGAUCGAAAACAUAUUAAGCUUCGGACAACGGGAAAGAGUAAUCCAUCCUGGUGAUGUGGAUAAAAUGUUGCUGGGAAUAUUUACACUAUUCAGAUCAUUACAAUCAUCUAAACAUAAACAACUGAGCUUGUUGAGGAAUAUCCAAGAGUGAACUUCAAUCAACUUUUCACAACUUUUCAGAAUUAUUUCUUCAAUAUUUGGUGACAUAGAAAGGUCUGGUAUUCUAGUAAGUUUCCGAGAAUAACUCAGGUCGAGCCUUUUCAAGUUGGGUAAAUUCUGCCACAAAUAGGAAAUGAAUGAGGUAACAAAUAAAAACUACUUUAUCUAUUUUUCUUCGGUAAAAUAUUAGCUACAUCAUCUAAUCUAUUCACUUUAUAUUUUACAUUACUUCAAAACCACUGUUAAAAAAAAUCACACUGUCAACUAACAAAACUGUGGCUAUAAAUUUAAUAGUUAUUAUAAAAAACCACAAAAUUUAACGUGUUUUUGUUCCCUACCUCAAAUUACAUCCUAAUAAUUUGAACCUAAACUUAUUAUGUAUUUAAAAACUGAUGAUAGUAAUUUAUAAUCGAUGACAGUGUGGAAAUACUUUAUAUCAUGCAUGUAUCAACUGACAAAAUAAAAUGGUGUUGUCUGAUGAUAGUAAUUUAUAAUCGAUGACCAUCUUUCCAUAAUUUAUUUUAUUAAAUACAUAAUUUGUUGUAUAUUAUAUUGAAGUUUAUGUUAUAAUAAUAAAAAAAUACUUAAUUAGGUUUUGAGUAUCCAGUAAGACAUUUUUAAUUAAUUUUUUUAUUAAAUUUUUUAAUUAUUUAAGUACUCAAAUUUUUUAUAUUUCCAAUAGAAUAUAUGUCAUUUUUAAUUUUUGAGUUAAUUGGGUGAUACAGAAAUUAUCUUGUCACAUGAUCUUACUUACUUGUCUUUAUGUAUUAAGGAAUAUGAAGUUUUAUGAUUGGCCAUUAGACUAUAUACCUAAAAAGAGGAUGCAAACUCUUCUACAUGCUACUAAAUUUAUAACUAUCUUUAAUUAGAAACAUGCUGAGUAUGAUUCUUAUGAUAUAUGUAUAACUGUGUGGUUCAAAUAAAAGAAAUUUCAAAUCGAAUAAUGUGGAGAAGCACAAAGGAAUUGCAAAUGAAAACCAGUAGAUGUAUAAUACAGAAAACAUGCUUGUAUAACUUAUUUUUGUCUUUGAAAGUUUAGAACACAAAGAAACAUAGAUAGCUUGAAAAACCUGAUCUCCUUCCCAGAGUUGUUCAAGAUGGCAGUAUGGCAUUUCGAGGGUCACUAGAUUUUGCGGGCAAAAGUUUGGAGGCAAAGAUCUUUGAGGGAAAUGUUUCCAAUAAAGAAUCUUUAGAGUGUCUGGCAGACCUACAAUAGAUGAUUCAAGAGACACAUUUGACGUGUAUUUUGGCGUGUUGAGCAUAAGCAUCCUAAGAUUGUCCAUCUUUUCGAAACUUUGUGCAUGUACUACAACUUCAUUUACUUUGCUCGUAUCUAGUGAUAUACACUGUAUUGCAUCUAACCCCUGAAAGUAAAUCAAUGUAAUUAGAAAAAAAAAGCAUGAAAUGUUGCUGUAUGGUUAUGGGCAGAUUGAUGAGAUAUGGUAACCUUCGGAUACUGAUCAUGAAGUGACAUAAAGGAGAAGGAAGCGUUACUGAAGGAGAGUAAUGGAAAUUUAUGAGAAAUUAAGCCGUUGGUUACAGAGACUAGGUAGGGACCGAGUCAUCUAUACCAGGGACCGAGUCAUCUAUAAGAGGAGGCAGAGACGAAGAGUAGGGGUAGGAAAAAAAGAUAUGGUUUUUAUAUUAUCUUUGAUGCUCUAGCUAAGGAUCAUCUGUCCUAAAACAGUUGCAUUUCUGGAUGUUUAAUGACAGCUCAAUAGUUUGCAGUUUUUUCACAAAGUAACAACAGAAUAUACCUUGUUUUUUCUUAAAACAUCACAAAUUUCCUCAGCAUUAAACAGUCGGCUGCGUUUUCCAGGAUGCCGACGACACUCUUUACGAACAAUUUCUUGACCCAUUUCUUGUAUUAGAUCGUGCAUCAUAAUAAUACCAUUAAAGACAGAUAUUAGGCACCUAUCUUUGAGAACAUCCAUUACAAUCUUAGUAGAGAAACCAUUGCAGUCAUCAAGUAUUUCUGCCAGCACAAUCUCCUGGUAUCCUCUAUAAAAGCAAGCAAUGUCAAGAAAUAUAUUCUUCUCCACCUCCUCGAGCCCAUCAUAACUUAAUUUUAAUACAUUGAAAAUACCAUGAUGUUGGCCCUUUUUCAACUUUUGCAACUGACUUUCCCAUGCUUCUUUUGUUCUGUCACAAAGCAAUGAGCCCAAAAUCUGGAGAGCUAACGGAAUCCCUUUUGCAUAACUCAACACCUUUCCUGACAGUUCCUUGUAAGCAAUUUCUUCUGAAGAUUUUUGUUUAAAAGCAUGUAAACUAAAAAGUCUUAGAGAAUCAUCAGAAUUCAACUCCUUAACUUCGUAGAUAUCAUCAGCUCUAGCAUUCUUAAGCACUUGUCUGUCUCUACUGGUCAUAAUGAUUCUACUGCCCUGCCUAAAACUAUCACUCCAUCCUAUUAAUUUUUGAAGUUGAGCUGAAUCGGUAACAUCAUCAAGAAUGAGGAGAGCCUUUGUCCGUUUGAGCCUUUCUUUGUAAUAUGGUAAAGAAGAAGAUUUCUCUUCCUUUAGAAGCUCAGACAGAUAUUUUGUUCUGAUACUAUCUAUUCCAUCUCUUUGUAUUUUUUCUUGAACGUCUAAAACAAGGCUGCUGGAAUCAAACUGCAAUGCCAAUUUCUGAUAUAUUUGAUCACAAAUUGUACUUUUUCCUAUUCCUCCCAUGCCCCAAAUUCCUAUGAUCCGAACAUCCGGUGACUCAGGAUGCAACAAGGACUGAAUUCCUUCAAUAUGUUUUUGAAUGCCGAUGAUUCCUUGAUCAUAACUGGUGGAAUAAAGAUUCAAUUUUCCCAAAAUAUCUUCCACAAUUUUUUCAACAAGUUUGUGGUCAUUCCUGGCAGAUGAUUUAGAAAAUAAAGUAUAAGAAUUCAAGCACAAAAGCUAAACUAAACUAAAGAAAAAUUCAGAGUCAAGAGGAGUGAACAUCAUUGAAUAGAUUCACAUAUCGAUUCUAGUUUCGAGUUCUGGAUAAAAUAAAUAAAUUAAAAAGUUGAAGGUAAGUUUAGGACGUUAUCUUCCUAUAUUAGUUUGGUUGGUUUAGUAAUUGCAAAUCAAGAUCGCAGAAAUUCUACAGUAACCGUAUGUGACUUCUGAUAAUAGGGAGCAGAUUUGUAGGUACAAAGUUAAGCUAUAACAUGUGAUAUGGUUCAGAUCCAUGACCGACUAAGAGAAAUGAAAAAAGAAACACUUGAUUUAUGGUGAGAUGAACACAAUUUUAGUAAAUGAAAAGAGAUCCUGAUUAUCUAAUAAAUAUAAUGACCUGGUGACUUUUGAAUCCCAGCCUGCAAGUUCAGCAGCUUCGGUUAGAGCAUCCUUCCAUCCUUGCACUCUGUCCAUGUCGUGCUUAAGCCGCUGUUCAUGCUCAUCAAAUGCUUCUUUGAAUCUUUGUUCCUGCUUCCUAAUAGUUGAUGGAUCCACCUUGUAGAAAACAGGUAUCACAUCCCUUCCAUAUCUCUUCUUGCAUUCAAGUAUCUUAGUGAGUUCAUUCAAGCACCAAGUGGAAGAUGCAUAGUUUUGGGAGAAAACGAUGACAUAAAUCUUUGAUUCUUCUAUUGCAGAGAGUAGUGCAGGUGAAAUUUCUUCGCCCCGGGGUAGUCUCUCGUCAAUAUAUGCUUGAAUGUUCUUCCUUUGCAGUGCUGCAUGAAGGUGACGAAUGAAGUUGUCACGUGUGUCUUCCCCUCUGAAGCUGAGAAACACAUCAUGCUUUGUUAGAGAAGCAGACACGGGGAAUGAUGAAGGACUUCCUGACAUUGGAAUCAAUUUUCUCUCUUUUCUCUUGCAACUCUCAGUGCCUUUGUUUGUACACAAAUCAACUCUUGGAAAAGUCUUUGAAUUUUCUCAAAAGUAUCUUUCACAGAUCACGCACGCGUGGAAACAUAGCUGUGUUAAAAUCCUUAUUUAAGUUUUAAUUGGGCCUUGUAGUGGGCUUUGUAAUGUGCUUUUCUUUUCUCCUACAUUGCUUUAUAUAUACACCUCAGCGUUUGCUUUCUACAUUUCAUUUUACAAAAUACAUUCUCUCAUUUUCUACCUUUUAUAUUGUCUGAUUCCGUUCUCUCUUUAUUUUUUUUCAAAUCUCUUUUGCUUACAAUUUUUUUUUCUUUUUUAAGAAAUGUACUUUUUCAAGUUUAAUUUAAUUUUAUAAAACAGUCAUCUUUCUACAGUAUUAUCAUCUCUUACGUGAGAUUAUUAUAUAUUAUUUGGUGAUCUAAGUAAACUUUUAAUCCAAUAAACUUUAAAAAUAAUUCUAAUACUAUAUUAAAAAAUGAAAUUUAAAUCUAAUUCUAUUUUAUAAAAUAUAUUUAUUCAAUGCUAAAAUAUCUCUAAUUGAGUAGGGAUGUUCAAAAUACUUAUUGGUUCUUGAUUUUCACUUUCACUUUUAAGGUUUUUCUUCGCAGACACGUAGUAAACAGAAAUACAAAAAUAUGAGUCAAUGGAAGAGUCUAACGAUUCGCAGAAUAUUAUGGUGUCUAGCUUUAUACCGCAUUAAUGCGAGGAGUUUCUUUAAUAUUUUUACUCAAUUUAUUUAUUUUUAAUUCUUUUUUUUUUCACACCUUUUACAAAUAAAGAAUCGUAUUUCUUUAAUAUAUUUUAGAAAAUAACCACUAAACCUUAUUAUAAAAUAUAUUUAUGAAAUGCACGUGUAAGAAUAACAGGAAAAAUAUUACUACGAAAAACAAUAUAUUAAUAUUAAUAUGUUUCUUAAUAAAUUUCAUACCCACUGUCUAUUUAUAAAUUAAUAUAAUAUAAAUAUCUUUAAUGAUGUUUUUGUGGGUAGCUUAUUUCUCUAACGCAGAAUAUUAUGGUGUCUACUUUUAUAAAACAUUACAUUUUGAUUUUAAUAUUUAUUAAAUAUUUUUUAUUUGGGAUGAAGUAACGAUGAUGAAUCGAAUGUGUUUUGAAGUCUGACAUAACUUUUAGAGAUGUUAUGAGAACGGUUAAUGACGGAAAUUAUCAAAAACCUUUUGGGGGAAGGUUGUGGUUUUGGGAGGUGAUUUCAGGUAAAUAUUGUUAGUGGUAAAAAAAGGAUUAAGAUAUGAUGUUGUGAAGUCAACAAUCAACUUUUCUCAUUUGUGGUUAAAUUGUCGAGUCUUAAAACUUUCUCAAGGAAAUCCAACACGAUCUAUUGAUUGAGCCCACAAAAACACCUUUGUUAUCAUUGGUGAAUUUUGUUUAUCCUAAUUUAUUGACUGAUAUGUUAUGUCCUGAGUACUUUGAGUAUGGAGCAAUACUUUGUCCGACAACUGAAUCAGUAGAGCAAGUGAAUGAUUUUAUUUUAUCUCUGUUAAGUGGUAAAUAAAUAAAUUAUCUUAGUUCGGAUACACCUUGCCAAUUAGAUUAAGAUCAAGAAUUUAAAGUGAAUGGUUCACUUCUGAGUUCUUAAAUGAGAUAAAAUGUUCAGAGAUACUAAAUCAUCGCCUUCAUUUGAAAAUUGGCGUGCCUAUUAUGCUUUUGAGAAAUAUUGAUCAAACCAACGGUCUUUGUAAUGGAACAAGGUUGCAAGUUAUUGAUUUGAAGAAAAUGUUAUUUGUGCAAUAGUUCUAACAGGAACAAAUAUUGGUGAUAAAAUCUUUAUUUCAAUAAUGAAUUUGAUCCCUUUAGAUGUAGGUAUGCCAUUCAAAUUCUAGAGAAGACAAUUUCCAAUAACUUUAUGUUUUGCAAUGACAAUUAAGAAAAGUCAAAGUCAAUUAUUGACCAAAGUUGGUUUAUAUUUUUCACGUCCAAUUUUCACACAUUGAUAGUUGGAUGUAGCUAUUUAUAGAGUUAGAAAGAAAAAAAUUUAAAAAUUCUAACUCUUGAUGAAGAUGGGAAUGCAACAAACAAGAAAAAGAAAAUGUUUACACUGAAACUUUUGACAAUAUUUAAAAACAAUAGAAUUAUAUGAUAAACUUGGAAUAAUGGCUAAUUCUCCCUGCACCCAAUAUUUUUGAACAUGCAACUUUUAAAUUUGCUCCCUUGUAAUUAUAUUUUCUUAUGUGUGAUGUAGUAACAGUUGCCUUAUUUAAAAUGUUACUAAAUAACAUAUCAUUUAUAUCUGUUAUUUUUAUUCUGUUCUGAUUUUAUAUAUAUGUUAACGAAGUUGAGAAUUUUCUGAUUUUACAGGUCCAUGCACAAACCUAAUAUAAUGAUAUGAUAUUCAAUAUCAAGAGGUACUUGUCGUAAAACGGGGAAUAUGAGAGACUCCAUAGAAUGAAGAAAAAGUAUAAAGAGGAUUUACAAAUUACCCUUUCAAAUGCAGCUCCUCAGAAUUUCUUAAUGCCUUCACUGCAAAUGCAACCCAAAUAAGCUAAAGAAGUUAAUCAAACUAUACAUUAAGAGUUUCAAGAAAAUGAAACUCUGGAACAACAGAGCAACCCAUCUCAUGCUCAAUAGAAACAUCAAACUAUAUCUAACAAUAACUUAGAAAUCUUUGUCAACAAUUGAACGAACCCACUCCUAAAAUGCCAUUGAAAAUGUAAAUAAAUAAAUAAAAAUUAAAAAUGAGAAUUCAUAAUAAAAUUUCAUCGUGUUGAAACUUGUAAUUUAGAAGUAUUACGAUAAGCCAGUUUUGAUCCUCGCGAAUGAAAGACUAAUUAGCAGAAAGACUGUGCAAAAUUCCUUCCACUGGAUUCUUCGAUGUCAACUGAUUUGGUAUAAAGAGGACAUAUGCCGCAUUCUUUUAUUGUGAUAACUGAUUUCAACUCUCUCACAAGUAAUUUGCGAUUUGACCGAUUUGGCCGCAGAAAGGGAUCAUCAUAAUCAUGCGAACUGAUCUCAAAAGUGAAGCUGCGAGCAUCACACAGCCUAAGGCUCAUGCCGCUUGCCCUUAGGGACUCCAAGUUAAAUUUCCACACCAAUGUGUGAUCUUUAUCAACACCUCUCUCUUCAUCAUCCCAUCUGAAAUAGUUGUUUAACACAUCAUUAUUUGGAAUUAUCCGUGUGCCAUGAUCAUCAGAUUCAAAUUUUAGGCUGUAACCAAAGGAACCAUAUCUACCUUUAACAACUUUCGUAUCUAACACUUCAAAAACCACACACAAAGCGAAACCACUGAGCCUAUCAUCGCUUAAAAAACUUAAAUCUUCAUUUAUAGUCACUGAAUGUCCCUUCCCACGAAAAUGGAACCAACCAGGAACUGCACUCCCUGGAAAACAGAAGAACACACACCUAUAUCUAUCGUCGGUCAUCCUAAGCCUUGCAUCCUCCUCAAUGUUAGCACGACCACCUGAAUCCAGUUGUUGAGCAUUGGUCAAAAGAAAUUUGAAGAAACCCUCUUUGGAAUUUGACAAGUUUGGAACAAGAGAAUUGGACAUCACUCUUCUAAUGGAUGGGCAAUCCAAUGCCACUAGUUUUUUUAGAAAUGGUGGAAUCUCUGGGAUGCAUUCAAGCUUUUUGCAGUCGCUUAAAUCAAGCGAUUUCAAGCUUGAAAGAUGAGCAACGCUCUCAGGAAGGUUCACAAUUCCGCUAUCACACAGUGACAGUUCCAUUAAUGACGUCAAGCGACCGAUAUCUCUAGGGAUUUCUGUUAAUCUGGCACACCCCGAACAAUCAAGUUUAGAGAGAAGCUUGAGAUUAACAAUGGAGUUUGGAAGUGACUCCAGAUCAGUGCAUUUGCGGAGCUCCAGGGAUCGAAGAUUAACCAAAUUGGCAAAUGAGGAAGGCAGUUCUUUAACAGCCGUACAUAUCAAGUUAAUGUGAUCAAAAGUAGGAGCCGGCUCUGUGAUCUCUGGGAAGGUCCUCAGACUUGAGCAACCACACAAAUCAAGGUUCCUCAACUUCAAAUUGAAAAUGGUGCUUGGAAAAGUUUGUAGUGAACUACAGUGGGUAAGGUCUAACUUGCAUAGUCUGGUGAGGCUUCCAAUGGAAGAUGGAAUAAUCUCAAGAUUGAAGCAACUGCACAAACUCAGUUGUUGAAGCCCUACCAAACGGCACAAGGAUGAAGGUAGUGCCUGUAUGGCUGUGUCGUCUAAGAUGAGCACCACUAGAUCUUCCAACGUGUCCUGAAUCUGGGGUAAAUUUUCCAAUUUUGAGCAACCACGGAGUGAAAGUUGCUUUAGGAACUUCAUAUCAGAAAGGUCAAAUGGAAAGAUUGUAAGGGAAGAACAGUGAGAGAGAUCUAAGUGACAGAGCCUCUUGAGAUUUUGAAAGUUUGAGGGUACACCUUCGAGUAUUGUCGACACUUCACAUUGUGAGUAUAUAGUAUUAUUACCCACUUCUUCUUCGUUAUAUCUGUCAAAACUAAUUGAGGAAAUUUCACUGGAAGUUGGGAAAAUACCUUUAGCAUUAUGGAAUUUAACAGUCCCUCCCAAAAGUAAACUUGAGAAAGUUGGACGUUGACCCUCCAGUUUCACAUGAAGGUAUCUGGGUUGACUGGUUGAAAACAUUUCAAGCUCCUCACAGUGAGAAAGAAUGAUCAAUCCUGGAGAUGUGGAUAAAAUCUUGUUGGGAAUAUUUACACUUUUGAGAUGAUAACAAUGAUCUAAACAUAAACAACUGAGCUUGCUGAGGAAUAUCGAAGAGUGAACUUUAAUCAACUUUUGACAAUAACUCAGAAUUAGUUCUUCAAUAUUCGGUGACAGAGAAAGGUCUGGUAUUCUAGUAAGUUUCAGAGAAUGACUCAGGUUGAGCCUUUUCAAGUUGGGUAAAUUCUGCCACAAAAAGUAAAUGAAUCAGGUAACAAUGAAAAACUAAAAUAAAGUUUUAUGCAAUUUUAUCUAUUUUUCUUCGGUAAACUAUGAGCUACAUCAUCUAUCGAGUUUAUAUUUUACAUAAAACCACUGUUAAAAAAAUCACACUGUUAACUAACAAAAUUAUGGUCACUAUAAAUUUUAUAGUUAUUAUAAAAAUUCACAAAAUUUAACGUGUUUUUGUUCUCUACCUAAAAUUACAUCCUAAUAAUUUGAACCUAAGCUUAUUAUGUAUUGAAAAACUUACUAUAGUAAUUUAUAAUCCAUGACAAUGUCGAAAUACUUUAUACUAUGCAUGUUAAAAUUUGAUAAAAUGUCGAAAUACUGACAAAAUAAAAAUGGUGUUUUCCGAGAGUUAAAAUUAAACUUUAGUUAAAAUAAGUCCAUCUUUACAUAUUUUAUAAUUUGUUGUAUAUUAUAUUGAAGUUGAUGUUAUAAUAAAAAAAUGACUUAAUUAAUCGAAAAAUGUGGAGAAAACACAAAGAAAUUGCAAAUGCUUGUAUAAUUUAUUUUUAUCUUUGAAAGUUUAAAAGACAAAGGAACAUAGAUAACUUGAAAAACCUGAUCUCCUUCCCAGAGUUGUUCAAGACGGCAGCCUGGCAUUUCGAGGAUCACUAGAUUUUGUGGGCAAAAGUUUGGAGGCCAAAAUCUUUGCGGGAAAUCUCUCCAAUAAAGAAACUUUAGAGUGUCUGGCAGACCUACGAGAGAUGAUUCAAGAGACACAUUUGAUAUGUAUUCAGUUGAGUAGAGUAAAAACGUCCAAAGAUCAUCCAACUCUUUACGAGACACAUCUGAUAUGUAUUUAGUUUUAUUUUGCUCGUAUCUAGUAAUAUACACUGUAUUGCAUCUGACCCCUGAAAGUAAAUCAAUGUAAUUAGAAGAAAAAAACAUGAAAUGUUGCAUUGCAGGAUGUUUGAUGACAGCUCAGUGGUUUGCAAUUUUUCACAAAGUAAAUUAAUGACAGGUCAGUAGUUAUAUACCUUAUUCUUUCUUAAAACCUCACAAAUUUCCUCAGCAUUAAACAAUCGGCUGCGUUUUCCAGGAUGCUGAGGACACUCUUUACGAACAAUUUCUUUACCCAUUUCUUCUAUUAGAUCGUGCAUCACAAUUCUACCAUCAAUGACAGAUAUUAGGCCCCUAUCUUUCAGAAUAUCCAUUCCAAUCUUAGAAGAGAAACCAAAGUCAUCAAGUCUUUCUGCUACCUCAAUCUCCUCGUGACCUCUAUAAAAGCAAGCUAUGUCAAGAAAUAUAUUCUUCUCCUCCUCCUCCAGCCCAUCAUAACUUAAUUUUAAUACAUUGAAAAUACCAAGAUGUUGGCCCUUUUUCAACUUUUGCAACUCACUCUCCCAUGCUUCUCUUGUUCUGCCAUAAAGCAAUGACCCCAAAAUCUGGAGAGCUAACGGAAUCCCUUUUGCAUAUCUCAACACCUUUUCUGACAGGUCCAUGUAAGAUUUUUCUGCUGAAGAUUUUUGUUUAAAAGCAUGUAAACUAAAAAGUUUAUGAGAAUCAUCAAAAUUCAACUCCUUAACCUCGUAGAUAUCAUCAGCUCCAGCAUUUCUAAGCACUUGUCUGUCUCUACUGGUCAUAAUGAUUCUACUGCCCUGCCCAAAACUACCACUCCCUCCUAUUAAUUUUUUAAGUAUAGCUGAAUCGGUAACAUCAUCAAGAAUGAGGAUAGCCUUUGUCCGUUUGAGCCUUUCAUUGUAAUAUGAUAAAUCAGGGGAUUUCUUUAUCUCUUCCUUUAGAAGCACAGACAGAUAUUUUCUUCUGAUACUGUCUAUUCCAUCUCUUUGUAUUUUUUCUUGAACGUCUAAAACAAGGCUGCUGGAAUCAAACUGCACUGCCAAUUUCUGAUAUAUUUGAUUACAAAUUGUAGUUUUUCCUAUUCCUCCCAUGCCACAAAUUCCUAUGAUCCGAACAUCCGUUGACUCAAGAUGCAACAAGGACUGAAUUCCUUCAAUAUUUUUUUCAAUGCCGAUGAUUCCUUGAUCAUAACUGGUGGAAUAACGAUUCAAUUUUCUCAAAAUAUCUUCCACAAUUUCUUCAACAAGUGCGUGUUCUGGCCUGGCAGAUGAUUUAGAAAAUAAAGUAUAAGUAUUCAAGCACAAAAGCUAAAGUAAACUAAAGAAAAAUUUUACAGUAACCGUUUGUGACUUCUGAUACUAGGGAGCAGACUUGUAGGUACAAAGUUAAACUAUAAGAUCAGAUAUGGUUCAGAUCCAUGACCGACUAAGAGAAAUGAAAAAAGAAACACUUGAUUUAUGGUGAGAUGAACACAAUUUUAGUAAAUGAAAAGAGAUCCUGAUUAUCUAACAAAUAUAAUGACCUGGUGACUUUUGAAUCCCAGCCUGCAAGUUUAGCAGCUUCAGUUAGAGCAUCCUUCCAUCCUUGCACUUUAUCGUGCUUAAGGUGCUGCUCAUGCUUUUCGAAUGCUUCAUUGUAUCUUUGUUCCUGCUUCCUAAUAGUUGAUGGAUCCACCUUGUAGAAAACAGGUAUGACAUCCCUUCCAAAUCUCUUCUUGCAUUCAAGUAUCUUAGUGAGUUCAUUCAAGCACCAAGUGGAAGAUGCAUAGUCUUGGGAGAAAACGAUGACAUAAAUCUUUGAUUCUUCUAUUGCAGAGAGGAGAGCAGGUGAAAUUUCUUCGCCCCUGUUUAAUCUGUAAUCAAUAUACGCUUCAAUGUUCUUCCUCUGCAGCGCUGCAUAAAGGUGACUAAUGAAGUUGUCACGUGUGUCUUCCCCUCUGAAGCUGAGAAACACAUCAUGCUUUGUUAGAGAAGUAGACACGGGGAAUGAUGAAGAACUUCCUGACAUUGGAAUCAAUUUUCUCUCCUUUCUCUGCAAAUCUCAGAUUCCUUUGUUUGUACCAUUUCUACCUGAAGAAGUGUUUAAAUUUUCUCAAAAUACCUUGCACAGCGUGUUCUGGUCAGACAUAAAGAAAAAGACAAAUAUUAAGUUAAUAGAAUAGUCAACAAUUUAAAAAAUAAGUAUGAAAUAUAGAUAUAUAUCAUUAUCACGUGUGGAAGCUACGUCGUCUUGUAUUGGAUUUUCUAAUCUGCCUUUUAUCUUGUCUCAUUCUUCUUUAUCUUUUUUCUCUCAUCUCUCUUGCUUACGAUUUCUUUGCCUUUAUUCAGAAAUUUUAUUUAUAAUAAACCUUCAAUAAUAUUUGUACUUUCUAGCAUAUAGAAUACUUAAUGGAUCCUUUUCUGAUUUUUCUUUUCUAAAGUGCAAUUGAUAUUUUAAAUGUUUUUCUAUUUAAUUUUCCUUUCUUAAUGACACAUAAAAUGGUUCAGUGCACAAUUAAUUACUCUCACCUUAGAUUUCAUUCAUCUCAUUCCAUUUCCACACUCAAAUCAUUCUCACAUUUGUUUCUACCUGUUUCACAAAGUUUUAGUUAAAAUAUGGAAAUUAAUGUUCAAGAACCCUACUUAAUAUUAAUAUUCAACAAUUUAAAAUAUUAAAAUGCAAAUUAAUCUUUCUUAAUAAUGUCAUUUUUAUGUAAAAAAUAAAAUGUAGUUUAGUCAUUUAUACUUAGAUGGAUAAAGAUGGUUUUAGAAAAAAAAAUGCAUUUUAUUUCAAAGGUUAUCUAAGCUCUGAACUCAUUUAUGAAUUAAUAAUAAUAAAUAAUAUGUAAUUGUAUUCCAAUACCAUAUAAUUUUUUUUAUUGGGUGCGUUUCUGAUGAAUUAAUUAAUGCACUCUAGGGACAAUGAUCGCUCUAGUAUUUGAUUUUUUUAUUUAUUUUAAUGUUGAAAUUAUAGCUAUUUAGUACAGAUACUAUUGACACCGACACAGAUACGACACAGACACAGAGAUACUUAAAAUCUCUAAAAUGUAAGAUACAGAGACAUUAAUCUAUAUAUUAUAUAAUUAUGAAUUAUAUAAAUUAACAAUAAAGACUUAUGUGCACAAGUAUUUUGGAGAUUAUUUUUUAAGCAGAAAUAUGUUUUUCAUGACUGUUUCACAAAGAUUUGUUUCUUAUUUUUAUAAUCAUAAUAACAAUUUAUACCAUAAAGUUUGAAUUUUAGAAAAUUAAUGUAUUUUUUCUUUUUAAAAUUCCGUUAGAAUCGUACUAAAAUUGUAAAAAAUCUAACAAAUACAUUUUGAAUUGGACAUUUCACAAAUACAUGUCCUACCAGUAUCAUACGAAUGUAAACAAAAUUCUUUCUUCAUAUGCCGCAUUCUUUUACUGUGAUAACUCAUUUCAACUCUCUCACAACUGAUUCGUAAUCUGUGGGAUGCAUUAAAGCCUUUUGCAGUUAAAUCAAUAGUAUAUGAUGAUGUGAAUGUUAUUUAUAUACUAAAUAUAAUCACAUAGUAACUUCAAAUUUGAUAAGGUACAACAUGUUACCAUAUCUCUUUUAAUUUCUUUUAUUUCAUUAUAUAUUUAGGUGUAUUUAAUUUCUUUUUAUUUCAUUGUGUAUUUAGGUGUAUUACGUAAAAUAUAUAAUUAAAAAGAAAGAAGAAUAAUGUUAUUUUUAAAUUUAAAGAAUGACAUAUAGAAAUAAACAAGCUAUUUUGAAAUUUUUAGAUUUUACAAAACAUUACAUUUUGAUUUUAAUAUUUAUAAAAUAUUUUUUAAUUUCAUAUUUAAAACACAACACUUAGUUGAGUGUGUUCCUUAGUUACUUACCAAAUAACAACAUACAUCUUAUCGGGUCUUUUUGCGACCCGACCCAAACUCAUCUCGAUCCUAGUAGGGUUCGCAUCAUCUUCAAUUGAGGAGUAGAUUUGUCAGGAGGAAAAUAAAUUGAUUUAUAAGAACAUGUGAAGUUGUUUAGAUUGAGGAAUAAUAGAUGGAUUUUGAUUAUGAUUUAUGGUAAGUUUAAAAAAAAUAGAUUUGUUUCUUUUAACAUUUUUUGUAUUAUAAUUAUUUGCUGGCUGAAUUGUUUUGAGUUAACAUGUUUUCUUGGGGUAUGAUAUUGUGAGGUUUUAUUACAUGCAGGUACGUGAAUAUUUUUUUUAUUCUAGUUGUAUAAAUCAGGAAAAAAUGUUUUUCACAAUAUAAUUAUAAUAACCGUUUAACAACCUAAAUAAUAAUAAAAUAUUAACUCAUAUUAUUUAAUUAAAUUAUUAAAUAAAAAGUAGUAAAACUGAUUGUAGGAUGGGAAUAUGAUUAUUUUUAACUGCUAGCUCCUCAUUAUUCUUUUAUAAUAAAAAACACACUAGUAGGUGUUGAAAAUCGUAAUAUAACAAACAAGUUUUGACACACGUAGGUUUGGCAAUUGUUUUAAUAGCUGAAAAUAGUAAAACAAUUUUUAAUUACCACAAACUGCAUCUUAAAUCAUAAAAAAUAGCAUUUUUUAGUUCAUAUAUAAUAACAUUUCCAUAAAUAAAUCUCCCGCCGCCAUUGAUAUUAAUCAUUAAUAAUUUUAGAUAAUAUUUUUUACUAUAAAACAUUUAAUUGAGAUUGAAUUUUUAAUUCACACUUUUUGGUCAAAGAAUAAUAUAUUUCAUUUUUUUAUUUAUUAAAUAUUUUGUAUAAUGCUGAGAAAAAAAAAUCUCACACACACACACACAUAUAUAUAUAUAUGAUCCCUAUGUCCUACAAGUACAAUAUAACAUCGUUAGUAUAAUGAAUAAAAAUAAUGAGUAUUCAAAGUCGUGUAUUUACGUAAAAGAAUAACAUGAUUUUUAAAAGAACUCACAUUAUCAGUUUAAAUUUUGACGAUAAAAUACAUUAAUUAUAUAUAUUUAUUCAAAAUUUCAAUUAUAUUAUGCAUUAAUGGUUUUAUGCUUUUAGAGGAAUCAGAGAAACUUAGAAAAGCUUAAUGAAACCCUAUGAAUAAAGGAGAUGUAAAAGAAAGAGAAAAAGGAAGUGAGAAAAGAUGAUAAUUAAUAAACACCCACUCUUCAUAACAUAGAGUCUUUAAACCUAUAUUCCCUCAAACAGCAUUUAUAAGUUAUUAUCACCCACAUGGAAUAAGGUGCCUCAAUGUGAACAAACCAAGAUCAGUAAGAAAUAUGAGGUUCAAAUAACGAAGCUGAGAAUUUUCUGGUUUUACAGCUCCAUGCACAAACCUAAUACAAUGAUAUGAUAUUCCAUAGGAUGGAGAAAAGUAUGAUAUGAAGAGGAUUUACCAAUUACCCUUUCGAAUGCAGCUCCUCAGGAUUCCAUCAUGCCUUCACUGCACAUGCAACCCAAAUAUGCUAAAGAAGUUAAUCAAACCCAAAUAUAAAGAAUUUCUAGAGAAUGCAACUCUGGGACAACAGAGUACCCCAUCUCAAGCUGAACAGAAACAUUAAACUAUAUCUAACAAUAACUUAGAAAUCUUUGUCAACAAUGAACGAAUCCAACCGUAAAAUGCCAUUGAAAAUGUAAAUAAAACAAAAUAAAUUAGAUAUGAGAAAUUCAUGAUAAAAUUUCAACACUUGUAAUGUAGAAGCAUUACGAUAAGCCAGUUUUGAUCCUCACCAAUGAAAGUCUAAUUAGCAGAAGAGGAAGAGACUAGUUGACUGGGUAGCUUUCUGCAAUGCCUAUUUUAAGGUUACGCUUCCGGCAAAAAUAUAAUAGAAGACUGCUCUCAUGUCAAAGUUUCUCAUACAUAGAACAACCCGCAAAAGAGAUUAAACAUUCCAAAAGAUGUCUCAACAGAAAUGAAAUGAGAUCCUAACAACUUGUUGGGAAAGUACUAUUUUGCCUUCAAUUCCAUUACUUCCUUUUGCCUUUAAGAGUGCAGUCAUAAUCAUCAAAAUACUUAGACUUUGUGAUAUGUCUUUUGGGCUUGCUAUUCAUCUUUUGUUGCCUCCUCUUGAGCCAUAACACUUUUGGCCUUCCUCUUCCUAUAUUCCCUUGUGUCUCUUGAAGACUGUGCAACAUUACUUCGACUGGAUUAUUCAAUGUGAACAGCACCACCAUAUUCAUCAUCUUUCUUUUUGGAAUAAAGAGGGCAUAUGCCGCAUUCUUUUACUCUGAUAUCGGGCCACCAAUGGCUGAUCUCAAAAGUGAAGCUGCGAGCAUCACAGAGCCUAAGGCUCAUGCCGCUUGCCCUUAGGGACUCCAAGUUAAAUUUCCACACAAAUGUGUGAUCUUUAUCAAGAAAUCUGCCUGCAUCCGUCAAGUUUAACACAUCAUUAUUUGGAAUGAUCUGUGUGCCAUCAUCAUCAGAUUCAAAUUUUAGGCUGUAACCAAAAGAACUAUAUCUACCUUUAAUAUCAUUCGUAUCUAACACUUCAAAAACCACGCACAAAGAGAAACCAGUGAGCCUAUUAUCGCUGCAAAAACUUAAAUCUUCAUUUAUAGUCACUGAAUGUCCCUUCCCACGAAAAUGGAACCAACCAGGAACUGCACUCCCUGGAUAACAGAAGAACACAGACCUAUAUGCAUCGUCGGUCAUCCUAAGCCUUGCAUCCUUCUCAAUGUUAGCACGACCACCUGAAUCCAGUUGUUGAGCAUUGGUGAAAUGAAAUUUGAAUACACCCUCUUUGGAAUUUGAGAGGUUCCGAACAAGAGAAUUUGACAUCACUUUUCUAAUGGAUGGGCAAUCCAAUGCCACGAGUUGUUUUAGAAAUGGUGGAAUCGGUGGGAUGCAUUCAAGCUUUUUGCAGUCGCUUAAAUCAAGCGAUUUCAAGCUCGAAAGAUGAGCAAUGCUCUCAGGAAGGUUCACGAUUCCGCUAUCACGCAGUGACAGUUCCAUUAAUGACGUCAAACGACCAAUGUGCCUUGGGAUUUCUGUUAAUUUGGCACACCCCGAACAAUCAAGUUUAGAGAGAAGCUUCAGAUUAACAAUGCAGUUUGGAAGUGACUCGAGAUCAGUGCAUUUGCGGAGCUCCAGGGAACGAAGAUUAACGAAAUUGGCAAAUGAGGAAGGCAGUUCUUUAACAGUCGUAGAUGUUAAGUUAAUGUGAGCAAAAGUAUGAGCCGACUCCGUGAUCUCUGGGAAGGUCCUCAGCCUUGAGCAACCACGCAAAUCAAGGUUCCUCAACUUCAAAUUGAAAAUGGUGCUUGGAAAAGUUUGAAGUGAAUUACAGUGGGCAAGGUCUAACUUGCAUAGUCUGGUGAGGCUUCCAAUGGAAGAUGGAAUAAUCUCAAGAUUGAAGCAACUGUGCAAACUCAGUUGUUGAAGCCCUACCAAACGGCACAAGGAUGAAGGUAGUGCCUGUAUGGCUGUGUCGUCUAAGAUGAGCACCGCUAGAUCUUCCAACGUGUCCUGAAUCUCGGGUAAAUUUUCCAGUUUUGAGCAACCACUGAGACAAAGUUGCUUUAGGAAUUUCAUAUCAGAAAGGUCAAACGGAAAGAUUGUAAGGGAAGAACAGUCAGAGAGAUCUAAGUAACAGAGGUUCUUGAGACUUUGAAAGUUUAAGGGCACACCUUCCAAGAGACUGUUGAACACCUCUGAGUCUUCUGAGUCUGUAGCAUUAUUAGCCACUUCUAUAUUAUAUCUGUCAAAAGUAAUUGACAAAAUUUCACUGCUUGGGGAAAUUUCACUGGAAGUUGGGAAAUUUAUCUCUUUCGUCAUAUCCAGUUCCUGACGCUCCAGUAUGACAUGAGGGAGAAAUUUAUCUUCAUGUUUACUGAUUGAAAACAUAUUAAGCUUCCGACAAUGGGAAAGAGUAAUCCAUCCUGGUGAUGUGGAUAAAAUGUUGCUCGGAAUAUUUACACUAUUCAGAUCAUCACAAUGAUCUAAACAUAAACAACUGAGUUUGCUGAGGAAUAUCGAAGAGUGAAUUUCAAUCAACUUUUUACAAUAACUCAGAAUUAUUUUUUCAAUAUUUGGUGACAUAGAAAGGUCUGGUAUUCUAGCAAGUUUCCAAGAACGUGUCAGGUCGAGCCUUUUCAAGUUGGGUAAAUUCUGCCACAAAAAGUAAAUGAAUCAGGUAACAAAUAAUAACUACUUUAUCUAUUUUUCUUCCUAUUUAAACUAUUAGCUACUACUAUUGAGUUUAUAUUUUACAUUACUUAAAAACCACUGUUAAAAAAGCCACACUGUGGACUAACAAAAUUAUAUUUUAAAAUAUUAUUAAAGAUAAAAUAUGAAGAUAGGGUAAUUAAAUUAAAUAUAAUUUUUAUUUUUCAGAAAUGAUGAAAAUUAUAAUUAAAUUAACUAAAUUAUAUAAAAUUCCAUUUUAUUUACAUAACUCCUUUUCAUAUUAAAAAACUAUAUAAGAUCUUGAAACUAUAAUUAAUAUCUUAAAAAUUUAAAUAAUAAUAAUUAUUUCUACUCAUCCUUAAUUUUUGUUGGUGAAAUCUUGAUUUUUGGGAUAAUAUCACUUAAACUUAAGAAAUAUUUGACAUUAAUGAACUCUAAACAAAUUUAUAUAAGAAAUCAAGACAUCACUUUCAAUCCGAAAUCUUAAACUAAUAGGUUUAUGGAUUUUCUUUAUAUGUUGUUCAUCUUACCAAUUUGAACCCAAUGCGAGACUUUCAACUCUAAGAGAUGAAGUGGUGUACUUUAUGCUUCUAGGACUUGUUAGAUAUUGAAACAUGUACCAUUGCUAAAAUGUUUGAAUGAAGGAGAAGUCAAAGUCUCUCUCCUUUAGAGAUAUUCGCUCAAGUGGCAAGAGGUUGAUUAAGCAAGAGAGAGAUCGUAUUAAUUCUCUCUUCUAUGCAAUUGUUGUCGUUCAAACAAUGUGGAAUCAUUCAAGCAAAGAAAUCUUCUUUUGGGUUAGGAAACAAGGUUUUUCAAGCGAGAUAAACUCGUCUAAAGAAUUUAACUCUAGUAGUGAAAUGUUGUUGCCAUGAUUUAGCCAAGUGUUUGUAUCUAUGAGGCUAAUGAUGAUGAUGACGAUGAUAAGAUGCAUGAAUGUGUAUACACAAGUGUAUGAUAUACCUCAUGUUAUAUAUUGUAUGUGAUUCAAUUGAUGACCAUUUAUUUUUAGGCCAUUUAUAUGUAUAUUUUGGCCCUUUUAUGAGUAUGUGACGAGAUAUACCUAAGAUUGUAUUAUGAUCCUAAUGAGUCGAAGUAUCAAACACAAAACUCAUUAUGGAAAAAAAAAGAUAUUUUGUGCAUCAGUUAUGAUAUGAUCACAACAAUUAAAGCAUGUGUGAACGGUUAAUAUUGUUCUUAAUAAGAAAACAAAUAAUAUUGUAUGUGACAUUAGAGAUGUCAAAUAGGUUUAGAAAAUUAUUAAGUUUAAUUAUCUUUUUAGUCUUUAUAUUAAUGACCAAAAGUCAAUUCAGAUUUUUAGAAAGUUCAAUAUGAUUUAAUUUUUUAAAAAACAAUUCAAUGUGAUUCCUUCUAGUAUAUUUCCCUUAUUAAAAUAUUUUUAUCUUAAUGAUUCUGCCACUGUUAAGUUAUAUGUGUUGUUAUCACAUUGAAUUGUUUUAAAAAAAUUUGGAACCACCACAUUAAAUUGUUUUAAAAAGUUAGUACUAAAUUGAACUUUUGAAAAUUGGGAGAAUGAAAUUAAAUUUUGUCUAUUAAUACAGGGACAAAAAAUAAUUGAAUCAAAUAUUUUACUAUUUUUGUGAUGUAUAUUUAUAUAUAAAUAAUUUUGAGAAUUUAGAGUUACAAUGUGUUAUAUCAUAUAUAUAUAAUUCUUUUUGGUAAUGUAUCCUGUAGUUGUAAGCAAGUAUGAUUAUAUUAAGUGGGGCGUUUCAAAUAGUGGAGACUACGCAUAUACAAAUAUCUCUUAUAAAGUAAGAAAACAAAACAAUCGUUACUCAAGAAGAUCAUGCAAUGCAUCACAGACAACAUGGGAGAUAUAUAUCAACAAUAAUAUGAGUAAAUAAUACAUUCAUGGGCCAUUAGACGAUAUGCCUAAAAAAAAUAUGCAAACUAUUAAAUUUAUAAUUAUUUUUAAUUAGAAACAUGCUGAGUAUGACUCUUAUGAUAUAUGUAUAACUGUGUGCUUCAAAUAAAAGAAAUUUCAAAUCGAAUAAUGUGGAGAAGGCACAAAGGAAUUGCAAAUGAAAACCUGUAGAUGUAUAAUACACAAAACAUGCUUGUCUAAUUUAUUUUUAUCUUUGAAAGUUUAGAACACAAAGGAACAUAGAUAACUUGAAAAACCUGAUCUCCUUCCCAGAGUUGUUCAAGAUCGCAGUAUGGCAUUUCGAGGAUCACUAGAUUUUGUGGGCAAAAGUUUGGAGGCCAGAAUCUUUGAAGGAAACCGUUCCAAUAAAGAAACUUUAGAGUGUCCGGCAGACCUACAAGAGAUGAUUCAAGAGACACUUUUGAAUUCAAUCUAGGCAUGUAGACCAUAAGCAUCAUAAGAUUGUCCAUCUUUUCGAAACUUUGUGCAUGUACUACAGCAUCUUUUACUUUGUUCGUAUGAUAUUGAUAUACACUGUAUUGCAUCUGACCCCUGAAAGUAAAUCAAUGUAAUUAGAAAAAAAAACAUGAAAUGUUGCAUUUCAGGAUGCUUAAUGACAGCUCAGUAGUUUUCUAUUUUUCACAAAGUAACAACAGCAUAUACCUUGUUCUUUCUUAAAACCUCACAAAUUUCCUCAUCAUUAAACAAUCGGCUGCGUUUUCCAGGAUGCUGAGGACACUCUUUACGAACAAUUUCUUUACCCAUUUCUUGUAUUAGAUCGUGCAUCACAAUUCUACCAUCAAAGACAGAGAUUAGACCCCUAUCUUUGAGAAUAUCCAUUCCAAUCUUAGAAGAGAAACCACAGUCAUCAAGUGUUUCUGCUACCACAGUCUCCUCUUGCCCUCUAUAAAAGCAAGCUAUGUCAAGAAAUAUAUUCUUCUCCUCCUCCUUGAGCCCAUAAUAACUUAAUUUUAAUACGUCGAAAGUUCCAAGAUCUUGGCCGUUUUCCAACUUUUGCAACUGACUCUCCCAUGCUUCUCUUGUUCUGCCAUAAAGCAAUGACCCCAAAAUCUGGAGAGCUAACGGAAUUCCUUUUGCAUAUCUCAACACCUUUACUGACAGGUCCAUGUAAGCAAUUCCUUCUGAAGAUUUUUGUUUAAAAGCAUGUAAACUAAAAAGUUUCAGAGAAUCAUAAAAAUUCAACUCCUUAACUUCGUAGAUAUCAUCAGCUCCAGCAUUCUUAAGCACUUGUCUGUCUCUACUGGUCAUAAUGAUUCUACUGCCCUGCCCAAAACUAUCACUCCCACCUAUUAAUUUUUGAAGUUGAGUUGAAUCGGUAACAUCAUCAAGAAUGAGGAGAACCUUUGUCCGUUUGAGCCUUUCAUUGUAAUAUGGUAAAUAAGAGGAUUUCUCUUCCUUUAGAAGCUCAGACUGAUAUUUUGUUCUGAUACCGUCUAUUCCAUCUCUUUGUAUUUUUUCUUGAACGUCUAAAACAAGGCUGCUGGAAUCAAACUGCAAUGCCAAUUUCUGAUAUAUUUGAUCACAAAUUGUAGUUUUUCCUAUUCCUCCCAUGCCACAAAUUCCUAUGAUCCGAACAUCCGUUGACUCAAGAUGCAACAAGGACUGAAUUCCUUCAAUAUUUUUUUCAAUGCCGAUGAUUCCUUGAUCAUAACUGGCGGAAUAACGAUUCAAUUUUCUCAAAAUAUCUUCCACAAUUUCUUCAACAAGUGCGUGUUCUGGCCUGGCAGAUGAUUUAGAAAAUAAAGUAUAAGUAUUCAAGCACAAAAGCUAAAGUAAACUAAAGAAAAAUUUUACAGUAACCGUUUGUGACUUCUGAUACUAGGGAGCAUACUUGUAGGUACAAAGUUAAGCUAUUGUGUGAUAUGGUUCAGAUCUAUGACCGACUAAUAGAAAUGAAAAAAGAAGCACUUGAUUUAUGGUGAGAUGAACACAAUUUUAGUAAAUGAAAAGAGAUCCUGAUUAUCUAAUAAAUAUAAUGACCUGGUGACUUUUGAAUCCCAGCCUGCAAGUCCAGCAGCUUCGGUGAGAGCAUCCUUCCAUCCUUGCACUGUGUCGUGCUUAAAGUGCUGCUCAUGCUCAUUGAAUGCUUCUUUGUAUCUUUCUUCCUGCUUCCUAAUAGUUGAUGGAUCCACCUUGUAGAAAACAGGUAUCACAUCCCUUCCAUAUCUCUUCUUGCAAUCAAGUAUCUUAGUGAGUUCAUCCAAGCACCAUGUGGAAGAUGCAUAGUUUUUGGAGAAAACGAUGACAUAAAUCUUUGAUUCUUCUAUUGCAGAGAGGAGUACAGGUGAAAUUUCUUGGCCCCUGAGUAAUCUGUAAUCAAUAUAUGCUUGAAUGUUCUUCCUUUGCAGCGCUGCAUAAAGGUGACUAAUGAAGUUGUCACGUGUGUCUUCCCCUCUGAAGCUGAGAAACACAUCAUGCUUUGUUAAAGAAGCAGACAUGGCCAAUGAUGAAGGGUUUCAAUGUUCUCUGCAACUCUCAGAUCCCUUUGUUUGUAAGCAACUUCCAUAUAUUCUAUUAGGAAGGAAAAUAUAUAUUUCUACCAUUCCUACCACAAAUUGAAAAAGCCUUUCAAUUUUCUCAAAAUAUCUUUCACAGCUGUGUUCUGUCAGAUACGAAACAUUGAGUCAAUGGAAGAGUCAACAAUUGGCAGAAUAUUAUGGUGUGUAGCUUUAUACCAUUCUUACAAUAUUUGAUUGGUUGAAUAUAUACAAUAUGACUAAUGAACUUUUUUCUUUUCCGUAUUCCACGAUAAUUCCCUAGGCACCCUAUUAUACACUUUCUUAUCAACGGAAACCAUGUCUGUCCUUUUAUAGUUUUAAUCCUAUAAUAUCUUUCCAUUAAUCAUCAUUAUCACUCUUCAACCUUCAUAUCAAGUGUAUUGAUUUCAUACUUCAUCAGCUAGACAUAAUAAAAUCUCAAUAAUCUUUUAUACUGUCAACAUUUAUAAAAAAUAUUUCCUUCAAUAAUAUUUGUACUUUCUAGCAUAUAGAAUACUUAAUGGAUUCUUCUGUGAUUUUUCUUUCCUAAAGUACAAUUGAUAUUUUAACAGAUGCCGAAAGGUCUUGAAUAUGAGGCUGUUUCGAAAUGAAAAUUGGGGUAAAGCAUUUUCAAGUUAACAAGUUUUGUUGGGUGAGUGAGUGAUCAGUGCUAGCAUUUUCAAUCUCAGUUAUAGAAUGUAAAGAUUUACACAUUUAUUUGCUGAUUAAUAAUUUAUUUAUUGAAUUAAAUGUUUUAACAGUGAGUAUGGAUUCUUGAAUGAAUGUAAUCAUGGUGUAGAAUGUACAUAGUACAUAUAGUGAGUUGGAUUGAAAUGUUGAACACGUUUUCCUCUGCAAAGAUUCAGGAUAUUUAUGAACUUGCUAUAAAUUGUUUUAACUUUUCUCUGCAACUCUCAGUCCCUUUGUUUCUACCAUUUUGUUUUUGAAAAGCCUUUCAAUUUUCUCAAAAUAUCUUUCACUGCUGUGUUCUGUCAGAUACGAAACAUUGAGUCAAUGGAAGAGUCAACAAUUCGUAGAAUAUUAUAUUAUGGUGUCAAUAUUUAAUAAAUUUAUUUAUUUCUUUAACAUAUUUUAGAAAAUAACCAGUAAACAUAAAACUUUUAGUAUGACUAAAAGAAUAAAGAUAGUGUAAGAAUAACAGGAAUAACAUUACUACAAAUAACAAUAUAUUAAUAUUAAUAUGUUUCUUAAUAAAUUUUACACCCACUGUCUAUUUAUAAAUUAAUAUAUUAUAAACAUCUAUUGAUUUUUUGUGGGUAGCUUAUUUCUGUAACAUUUUAAAUUAAUUUUUUAGAUUUUACAAAACAUUACAUUUUGAUUAUAAUAUUUAGGACUGUGAUGCAAUUUCUGCAAUGAAGGCUGGCAGACUAAGUUUCUCCAAGCCCAAUUAAUACUGGGUUGAAAAUUCUGAGAAGAGGGUGAGUAUGAUGCUGCGGUCAUGAUCUAUGUAUUAAAGUGUUAAGGCAUGGGUUUGGUUGACAGGACAAUACUGGUUUUUCAUUGCUACUACUUAAUAUGAUUCUUUCUUACUGCUAUAUGAAUUUGCUGUCAAAUAGCAGUAAAUAAAAGACUUCAAAUAAAGCAUGUGUUUAUCAUACAUGGACUAAUGCAGCAGUUUUAGUAGAAGGGGCUAAUAUGAUUUUAAUCUAGAACAAGAUGGCUAAACCCAAAGAUGGUGGGAAUAAUAUCCUCAAAUCAAUUGUUUUGGUUUUCAGUGUAAUGUCAUUUGUAAGUAUCAAAAUUUGUUUGUUAUCACAUUGGAAGGUAGUAUCUGUCAUGAAAUUUGUGGAAGACCUUUACCUAUGUUUGCUUUGGGUCUGUUUUACGCCCUCUCGAAUUAAGUAAAUUUUUAAUUGCCAUCAUGAAAUUAGGCUAAAUAUGUGUAGUUUUGAGCACUUUCUUUCUUCCAUUUCAAUUCAUAGUUUCAUACAUAUUCAAUAUCAUGUGGGAAUUAAGUUCUUGCUUUUAAGGUGAAUAACAGUUUGUAUUCUUGCAGAAAACUAUUUUCUAAUGCAUAUAAAUUUCAUUUUCUAUUUUCAGCAUUGGAUUAUGUUAUGUAAUUUUUCCUUUGUAUUAUACAGAGUAGGAUUUUAAUGUUUCUACUGAACAGUGCUAUCUUUUUUCGUCCAUAUUCUGAUUUUGUUCAAUUUUUUUCAGUAUGUGCCACAUGCAGAUCAGAUGUAAGGAAUUUUCUAAAUUUUUUUUCAAGCUUUCUUGUUUGCUUAAAGUUUUCUGUAAGUAUUUAACUGUCUUAAGUUGUUAAUGAGGACUAAGGACUGAAAAAGAGAAUUAGCCAUGACAUGGUGGCAUUAUCCUUCUUCAAAACCAUUAGUUUUUUUUCCUACAAAGAUACAUGUCAAGAAAGCAAACCAGGAACAAAAGUGAUGUUUAUGAUUGCUUUCUCUCUUGUUUACUUGCUUUCUUUUUGUUGGACAAUUGUCUUAAUUGCAUUCACACCUAACCUGCAGUAGUUUCAGUCCCUUUGGGGUUGUCAUAAUUGCAGCCUCAAGAGUGGUGGUGUAGUCCAACAUCAACCAGUGAUAUAGUUCAAAUAUAGCAUAUACAUGAAAGUCGUGUUGAUAAUCAAAGGUUGCUUCAUCUUAACUAAUAACAUGUAAAUGUCAUUUGAAUGGUUAAAAAGGAAUUCACCAGUGUAACACAAAAUGAAUGGAUUGCUUGGUUAUGUGUCAACUGUUGUACUUUUUUUGAGUUGCUUGAAAAUAAUUAAAAUUUGUUUUCAUCUAGAUCUUGGUUUUUUCCUAUGAUCAAAUCUCGAUUUAUUUCUGUGCAGAACUUUCUUGUGGACAUAAAAGGACCAGCUAUAGCAUUUUUACCGGUGCUUGCAUUUGAAGGAGGAACUAGAAGAAAUAUACCUAGGUUUGAGGUGUGUAUAAAUUAUUUUUGAUGUAUUUCGUGAUGUAGAUGUAAAAUAAUGCAAUACUUUGUUUUUAGUUUCAAUGUUACUCUUUAUCUGCAGGUUGGAAACAUAUCUUGAUGAAAUAUAGAAACAUUUUUAUUCAUAAUAUAUAUAUAAGGAUUACACAUUCAUAAUUAUUUCUUUCUGUCGUAGCAUUGUCUACCUCAAAUCACUGCAACUUUCUGUUGUUGGUAUAAAAAUACAAUAUUUUAAUCCCAGUUUUGAUAGCCUCUAUUCUUCAGUGGUUGAGAUAUUUUUUAUAAGAAUUUAGAAGUUCUGAGAUAUUUAUGAUAAGAAUUUCAAGUUCUUUGUUACUAGCAGUUUAAUGGUUAUAUCAUUUUUGUUCUCUGGAAAAUAUCUUAUACAAAAUCGGUACUUAGAUUUGGUAUUUAUAUUGUUCAUAUGUAGAAAUCUAAUACUAGCAAAUUUUGUCUAAUUUAAAAGCAAUUACAUUCUACUCUUUGGAAUAUGUUCUGGCCUGCUUUUAUGAAUUAUUUGAAAAUUUGUAAUUAUAAAAUUUAGUCUUUGAAAUUAUAAAUUUAAUAGAGAAGCAUCCAUACUAAACUUUUAUAUUAUAAAUUGUCAGUUUUAUAUUGAAAACAUAUCCCCUUUAGUAUAAGACUUAAAGGAGAUGUCUUUUGGUAUAAAAACUGAAAUAAAAAAUAUUUUAACUAUAUGGGUCAAAUGGAUGAUUAAACUUAUAAAAUGUACAAUUAAACUUAUAAAUUAUAAUAAACGAUACUUUAAUUUUAAACUAUAUUGAACUUUUAUUAAUGUUCUCGCUUUUCUUUAAAAGCUAUUGAACUCUAUCUAACAAUAACUUAAAAAUGAGAAAUUCAUGAUAAAAUUUCAACACUUGUAAUCUAGAAGUAUUACGAUAAGCCAGAAGAGGAAGAGACUAGUUGACUGGGUAGCUUUCGGCGUUCCUCUUCCUAUCUUCCCCUGUUUCUCCUGAAGAGUGUGCAACAUUGCUUCCACUGAAUUCUUCAAUGUCAUUUUCUGAUGCAGAAUAGUCAACAGCACCACCAUAUUUAUCAUCUUUCUUUUUCGUAUAAAGAGGGCAUAUGCCGCAUUCUUUUAUUCUGAUACCUGAUUUCAACUCUCUCUCAACUGAUUCGUAAUCUGGCCGAUUUGGCCGCAGAAAGGGAUCAUACGGACUGAUCUCAAAAGUGAAGCUGCGAGCAUCACACAGCCUAAGGCUCAUGCCGCUCGCCAUUAGGGACUCCAAGUUAAAUUUCCACACGAAUGUCCCUUCACCAUCCCAUUUGAAAUAGCUAUUUAACACACCCUUAUAUGGAAUGAUCUGUGUGCCAUCAUCAUAUUCAAAUUUUAGGCUGUAACGAAAAGAACCAUAUCCACCUUUAAUAUCUAACACUCCAAAAGCUACACACAAAGCGAAACCAGUGAGCCUAUCAUCGCUGCAGAAACUUAAAUCUUCAUUUAUAGUCACUGAAUGUCCCUUCCCACGAAAAUUGAACCAACCAGGAACUGCACUCCCUGGAAAACAGAACAACACACACCUAUAUGUAUCGUCGAUCAUCCUAAGCCUUGCAUCCUCCUCGAUGUUAGCACGAGCACCUGAAUCCAGUUGUUGAGCAUUGGUGAAAUGAUAUUUGAAGACACCCUCUUUGGAAUUUGACAAGUUUGGAACAAGAGAAUUUGACAUCACUCUUCUAAUGGAUGGGCAAUCCAAUGCCUCGAGUUGUUCUAGAAAUGGUGGAAUCGGUGGAAUGCAUUCAAGCUUUUUGCAGUCGCUUAAAUCAAGUGAUUUCAGGCUUGAAAGAUGAGCAAUGCUCUCAGGAAGGUUCACGAUUCCGCUAUCACGCAGUGACAGUUCCAUUAAUGACGUCAAGCGACCGAUGUGUCUUGGGAUUUCUGUUAAUUUGGCACACCCCGAACAAUCAAGUUUAGAGAGAAGCUUCAUAUUAACAAUGGAGUUUGGAAGUGACUCGAGAUAAGUGCACUCUUGGAGUUCCAGGGAUCGAAGAUUAACCAAAUUGCCAAAUGAGGAAGGCAGUUCUUUAACAGCCGUACAUGUCAAGUCAAUAUGAGCAAAAGUAUGAGCCGGCUUCAUGAUCUCUGGGAAGGUCCUCAGCCUUGAGCAACCACCCAAAUCAAGCUUCCUCAAUUUCAAAUUGAAAAUGGUGCUUGGAAAAGUUUGAAGUGAAUUACAGUAGGUAAGGUGUAACUUGCAUAGUCUGGUGAGGCUUCCAAUGGAAGAUGGAAUAAUCUCAAGAUUCAAGCAACUGUGCGAACUCAGUUGUUGAAGCCCUACCAAACGGCACAAGGAUGAAAACUUAUUUUAUUUUUGCUGUUCAUGCAUAACAUUAACAAAUAUUGACAUGAGAGAUUGUGUUUGUAGGCUUCUAAGCUCACCAACGUGUCCCGUUCUUGAUGCUUUAGGGAAGAAAAUUUCCUUUGAGAUUGCAAAAGGACUCAGGAGAAUUUAGAAGUUCUGAGAUAUUUAUGAUAAGAAUUCAAGUUCUUUGUUACUAGCAGUUUAAUGGUUAUAUCAUUUUUGUUCUCUGGAAAAUAUCUGAUACAAAAUUGGUACUUAGAUUUGGUAUUUAUAUUGUUCAUAUGUAGAAAUCUAAUACUAUAGCAAAUUUUAUCUAAUUUAGAAGCAAUUAUAUUCUACUCUUUGGAAUAUGUUCUGGCCUGCUUUUAUGAUUGUAAUUAUAAAUUUAAUAGAGGAGAUUACCAAACAUCCAUACUAAUUAAACUUUUAUAUUAUAAAUUUUUUCAGUUUUAUAUUGAAAACAUAUCCCUUUAGUAUAAGACUUAAAGGAGAUGUCUUUUGGUAUAAAAACUGAAAUAAAAAAUCUUUUAACUAUAUGGGUCAAAUGGAUGAUUAAACUUAUAAAUGUACAAUUAAACUUAUAAAUUGUAAUAAACGAUACUUUAAUUUUAAACUCUAUUGAACUUUUUUUAAUGUUCUCGCUUUUCUUUUAAAUGCAUUUCACUUGUGUGUUUUGUAUUCAGGCUGAUUUUAACUUUAUUCUCAAAUAUACAAAAUAAUUUUUGGUAAUUAUCUUGUGUCGAUCUUGACUUGUAGUAUCAAUGUGAAAUAUGUAAUAAUUACUUUUCUAUGAUUCAGAGGGAAAAUUAUUCCAACUAGACUUUUACAAAUAUAUUUCAAGUGGUAAUAUGAUUUUAAAAAAAAUAGGAUUCGCCACAAAAAAAAGUUACUGUUCCUAAUUGACAUGGUGCUGUCAAAAUUAUUUAAUUACAAUUUAGAUCUUCACUCUACAUAUAAUUAAUUAAUUACCAAUUAUUUAAAAGACUAGUAAAUUAUAAUUUUAAUCUCUCUACAACUUUCUAAAUUUAGUUAUGAUUCUCUCAAAAAAAUUUCCCUUAAAUAUUAAUUAUAAUUACCUUUAGACAGAAACAUUUCUAAUUUAAACAAGCAAAAAUAAGAAAAAAAAAUAGAUUACAAAAACUAAAUUUGAAUUUUUUUAUAUAACUCCAAAUAUAUUUUAUCCAUAAAUAAAUUCUAUUAAUAUUUCAUUUCUGUUUAAAUAGUUUAUUCAUAUUUGUAAUAUUAUUUUCAAAAAACAAUAAUUGUUUUUUGAAUAAAGGUUUACAAAUUCUAUAAUAAUGUAAAUGAGAAGAGGAGUGAGGGUAAAAAUAUGAGAACCUAUGUGAGGGAAUCUUGUGACAAUUUAGCUGGUGUUCAACUUGUGAGAAGUCUUUCAACUUGGUUUUCAAGUUUUAUAUUCAAUUUCUGUUCCUUCAAAUGUUUCUGAUUUUACAGCUCCUCAGGAUUUUACAGCUCCAUGCACAAACCUAAUACAAUGAUAUGAUAUUCAAUCAGCAUUAAUUAGCAUAAACAGGUACCUUGUUGUAAAACUGGGAAUAUGAGAUUCCAUAGGAUGGAGAAAAGUAUGAAGAGGAAUUACCAAUCACCAUUUACCAAUCAUAAUGCCUUCACUACAAAUGCAACCCAAAUAUGCUAAAGAAGUUAAUGAAACUAUAUAUGAAGAGUUUCAAGAAGAUGCAACUCUGGGACAACAGAGCAACCCAUCUCAUGCUGAACACAAACAUCAAACUACAUCUAACAAUAAUUCAGAAAUCUUAAUCAACAAUUGAGCGAACCCACUCCUAAAAUGCCAUUGAGAAUGUAAAUAAAUCAAAAUACAUUAAAAACGAGAAAUUCUUAAUAAAAAUUCAACGUGUUGAACCUUGUAAUUUAGAAGUAUUAACGAGAAGCCAGUUUAGAUCCUCACCAAUGAAAGACUAUUUUACAGGUUAGCUUCCACUGGAUUCUUCAAUGUGAACAGCACCACCAUAUUUAUCAUCUUUCUUUUUGGAAUAAAGAGGGCAUAUGCCGCAUUCUUUUAUUGUCACAACUGACCACCCAAAGUCAUAAAGAGGACUGAUCUCAAAAGUGAAGCUGCGAGCAUCACACAGCCUAGGGCUUAGGGAUUCUAAGUUAAAUUUCCAGACGAAUGUGUGAUCUUUAUCAACAAAACUGUAUUCACCAUUCCAUUUGAAAUGUCUGUUUAACCUAUCAUUAUUUGGAAUGAUAUGUGUGCCAUCAUCAUCAGAUUCAAAUUUUAGGCUGUAACCAAAAGAACCAUAUCUACCUUUAACAGAAUUCGUAUCUAACACUCCAAAAACCACACACAAAGCGAAACCAGUGAGCCUAUCAUCGCUGCAGAAACUUAAAUCUUCAUUUAUAGUCACUGAAUGUCCCUUCCCACGAAAAUGGAACCAACCAGGAACUGUACUCCCUGGAAAACAGAAGAACACAGACCUAUAUCUAUCAUCGGUCAUCCUAAGCCUUGCAUCCUCCUCAAUGUUAGCACGACCACCUGAAUCCAGUUGUUGAGCAUUGGUGAAACGAAAUUUGAAGACACCCUCUUUGGAAUUUGACAAGUUUUGAACAAGAGAAUUUGGCAUCACUCUUCUAAUGGAUGGGCAAUCCAAUGCCACGAGUUGUUUUAGAAAUGGUGGAAUCUGUGGGAUGCAUUCAAGCUUUUUGCAGUCGCUUAAAUCAAGCGAUUUCAAGCUUGAAAGAUGAGCAAUGCUCUCAGGAAGGUUCACGAUUCCGCUAUCACGCAGUGACAGUUUCACUAAUGACGUCAAGCGACCGAUGUGUCUUGGGAUUUUUGUUAAUUUGGCACACCCCGAACAAUCAAGUUUAGAGAGUAGCUUCAGACUAACAAUGGAGUUUGGAAGUGACUCGAGAUCAGUGCAUUUGCGGAGCUCCAGGGAUCGAAGAUUAACGAAAUUGGCAAAUGAGGAAGGCAGUACUUUAACAGCCGUAUAUGAUAAGUCAAUGCGAGCAAAAGUAGGAGCCCGCUCCGUGAUAUCUGGGAAGGUACUCAGGCUUGAGCAACCACACAAAUCAAGCUUGCUCAAUUUCAAAUUGAAAAUGCUGCUUGGAAAAGUCUGAAGUGAAUUACAGCGGGUGAGGUGUAACUUGCAUAGUCUGGUGAGGCUUCCAAUGGAAGAUGGAAUAAUCUGAAGAUUGAAGCAACUGCGCAAACUCAGUUCUUCAAGCCCUAUCAAACGGCACAAGGAUGAAGGUAGUGCCUGUAUGGCUGUGGCGUCUAAGAUGAGCACCGCUAGAUCUUCCAACGUGUCCUGAAUCUCGGGUAAAUUUUCCAAUUUUGAGCAACCACGGAGAGAAAGUUGAUUUAUGAAUUUCAUAUCAGAAAGGUCAAUUGGAAAGAUUGUAAGAGAAGAACAGUGAGAGAGAUCUAUGUGAGAGAGCUUCUUGCCACUAAAUUGUAAGGGCACACCUUCGUAGUCUUCUGAGUAUUCUGAGUCUGUAGCAUUAUUAGCAUUUAUCUCUUUCAUCAUAUCCGGUUCCUGACGCUCCAGUAUGACAUGAGGGAGAAAUUUAUCUUCAUGUUCACCCAAUGAAAACAUAUUAAGCUUCUCACAACCGGAAACACUAAUCCAUCCUGGUGAUGUGGAUAAAAUGUUGCUGGGAAUAUUUACACUUUUGAGAUUAGAACAAUGAUCUAAACAUAAACAACUGAGCUUGGUGAGGAAUAUCGAAGAGUGAACUUCAAUCAACUUUGAACAAUAACUCAGCUUUAUUUCUUCAAUAUUCGGUGACAGAGAAAGGUCUGGUAUUCUAGUAAGUUCCCAAGAUUUAACCAGGUCGAGCCUUUUCAAGUUGGGUAAAUUCUGCCAGAAAUAGUAAAUGAAUGAGGUAACAAAUAAAAACUACUUUAUCUAUUUUUCUUCCUAUUUAAACUAUUAGCUACUAUCUAUUGAGUUUAUAUUUUACAUUACUUAAAAACCACUGUUAAAAAAACCACACUGUGGACUAACAAAACUCUGCCUAUAAAUUUUAUAGUUAUUAUAAAAAAUCACAAAAUUUAACGUCUUUUUGUUCCCUACCUAAAAUUACAUCCUAAUCAUUUGAACCUAAACUUAUUAUGUAUUCAAAAACUUAUGAUAGUAAUUUAUAAUCGAUCACAAUGUCAAAAUACUUUAUAUUAUACAUGUAUCAACUCACAAAAUAAAUGGUGUUGUCUCAGAUUUAAAAUUAAACCUUAGUUAAAAAGUCCAUCUUUCCAUAAUUUAUUUUAUUAAAUACAUAAUUUGUAAUUUAUUGUAUAUUAUAUUCAAGUUUAUGUUAUGAUAAAAAAAGUAUCUAAGGCAUUUUUAAUUAAAUAAUAUAAAAUAAACAACAUGAACUCAAUUAAAUAAUAUAAAUUUUUUUGAAUACUCGAUGGAAUAAAAAAAUUAAUAAAACCCUCAAUUUGAAAAUAACCAAAUUUAUAAGAUACUUAAAACUUAAUUAAACCUACAAAUUUUCAUUAUAUGGAAUUAAAUAUUGUAAAGAUUUACCACAUAAGUUUCAUAAGUAGAAGGUUUAAACAUAAAAUUCUUCACGUUGGGAGUUUCUUUCCUCUAUCUUAUAAGUUUUCGUUGUUUCUUUAAUAUUUUUUAUAUGGCUUCUGUCAAUGUAAUUUUUUUUUUGGUUUUAAAAUAUUAUUAAAGAUAAAAUAUGAAGACAGGGUAAUUAAAUUAAAUAUAAUUUUUAUUUUUCAGAAAUGAUGAAAAUUAUAAUUAAAUUAACUAAAUUAUAUAAAAUUCCAUUUUAUUUACAUAACUCAUUUUCAUAUUAAAAAACUAUAUAAGAUCUUCCAAAGUAGAUAUAAUACAUUCACGGGCCAUUAGAUGAUAUGCCUAAAAAAAUAUGCAAACUAUUAAAUUUAUAAUUAUCUUUAAUUAGAAACAUGCUGAGUAUGACUCAAAUAAAAGAAAUUUCAAAUCGAAUAAUGUCGAGAAGGCACAAAGGAAUUGCAAAUGAAAACUUGUAUAUGUAUAAUACAGAAAACAUGCUUGUAUAAUUUAUUUUUAUCUUUGAAAGUUUAGAACACAAAGGAACAUAGAUAGCUUGAAAAACCUGAUCUCCUUCCCAGAGUUGUUCAAGAUGGCAGAAUGGCAUUUCGAGGGUCACUAGAUUUUGUGGGCAAAAGUUUGGAGGCCAAAAUCUUUGAGGGAAAUGUGUCCAAUAAAGAAUCUUUAGAGUGUCUGGCAUAUCCACAAGAGGUGAUUCAAAAGACACUUUUAAUUCCAAUCCCCACGUGUAGAGCCUAAGCACCCUAAGAUUGUUCAUCUUUUCGAAACUUUGUGCAUGUACUACAACUUCUUUUACUUUGAAAGUAGAUAGUGAUAUACACUCUAUUGAAGUAGAUAGUGAUAUACACUCUAUUGCAUCUGACCCCUGAAAGUAAAUCAUGAAAUGUUGCAUUGCAGGAUGUUUGAUGACAGCUCAGUGGUUUGCAAUUUUUCACAAAGUAAAUCCAUUCUCAAUUGAGUAACGACAUAAUACCUUGUUCUUUCUUAAAACCUCUCAAAUUUCCUCAGCAUUAAACAAUCGGCUGCGUUUUCCAGGAUGCUGAGGACACUCUUUACGAACAAUUUCUUUACCCAUUUCUUGUAUUAGAUCGUGCAUCACAAUUCUACCAUGAAAGACAGAUAUUAGGCCCCUAUCUUUGAGAAUAUCCAUUCCAAUCUUGGAAGAGAAACCACAGUCAGCAAGUAUUUCUGCUACCACAAUCUCUUGUGACCUAUAUAAAAGCAAGCUAUGUCAAGAAAUAUAUUCUUCUCCUCCUCCUCGAGCCCAUCAUAACUUAAUUUUAAUACAUUGAAAAUACCAAGAUGUUGGCCCUUUUCCAACUUUUGCAACUGACUCUCCCAUGCUUCUCUUGUUCUUCCAUAAAGCAAUGACCCCAAAAUCUGGAGAGCUAAUGGAAUCCCUUUUGCAUAUCUCAACACCUUUUCUGACAGUUCCCUGUAAGCAAUUUCUUCUGAAGAUUUUUGUUUAAAAGCAAGUAAACUAAAAAGUUUCUGAGAAUCAUCAAAAUUCAACUCCUUAACUUCGUAGAUAUCAUCAGCUCUAGCAUUCUUAAGCACUUGUUUGUCUCUACUGGUGAUAAUGAUUCUACUGCCCUGCCCAAAACUAUCACUCCCUCUUAUUAAUUUUUGAAGUUGAGCUGAAUCGGUAACAUCAGUUAGAAGUGGAACACGUUUGUAGAAGUGGAACACGUUAGUUGGUUAGUUGCCUUAAGAAGCGGAUCAUGUAUUUUUUCUUGAACGUCUAAAACAAGGCUGCUGGAAUCAAACUGCAAUUCCAAUUUGUGAUAUAUUUGAUCACAAAUUGUAGUUUUUCCUAUUCCUCCCAUGCCACAAAUGCCUAUGAUCCGAACAUCCGGUAAGUCAAGAUGCAACAAGGACUGAAUUCCUUCAAUAUUUUUUUCAAUGCCGAUGAUUCCUUGAUCAUAACUGAUGGAAUAACGAUUCAAUUUUCUCAAAAUAUCUCCCACAAUUCCUUCAACAAGUGUGUGUUCUGACCUGGCAGAUGAUUUAGAAAAUAAAGUAUAAGUAUUCAUGCACAAAAGCUAAAACAAAACUAAAGAAAAAUUCAGAGUCAAGAAGAGUGAACAUCAUUGAAUAGAUUCACAUAUUGAUUGUAGGACGUUAUCUUCGAAUAUUAGUGUGGUUGGUUUAGAAAUUGCAAAUCAAGAUCGCAGAAAUUCUACAGUAACCGGUAGUGACUUCUGAUACUAGGAAGCAGUCUUGUAGGUACAAAGUUAAGCUAUAAGAUGUGAUAUGGUUCAGAUCUAUGACCCACUACGAAAAAUGGAAAAAAGAAACACUUGAUUUAUGGUGAGAUGAACACAAUUUUAGUAAAUGAAAAGAGAUCCUGAUUAUCUAAUAAAUAUAAUGACCUGGUGACUUUUGAAUCCCAGCCUGAAAGUCCAGCAGCUUCGGUGAGAGCAUCCUUCCAUCCUUGCACUUUGUCGUGCUUAAAGUGCUGCUCAUGCUCAUCGAAUGCUUCUUUGUAUCUUUCUUCCUGCUUCCUAAUAGUUGACGGAUCCACCUUGUAGAAAACAGGUAUGACAUCCCUUCCAUAUCUCUUCUUGCAAUCAAGUAUCUUAGUGAGUUCAUUCAAGCACCAAGUGGAAGAUGCAUAGUUUUGGGAGAAAACGACGAUAUAAAUCUUCGAUUCUUCUAUUGCAGAGAGCAGUGCAGAUGAAAUUUCUUCGCCCCGGGGUAGUGUCUCAUCAAUAUAUGCUUCUAUGUUCUUCCUUUGCAGUGCUGGAUGAAGGUGGCUAAUGAAGUUGUCACGUGUGUCUUCCCCUCUGAAGCUGAGAAACACAUCAUGCUUUGUUAGAGAAGUGGACACGGGGAAUGAUGAAGAACUUCCUGUUUAAUUUCUUCGCCCCUGUUUAAUCUGUAAUCAAUAUAUGCUUCAAUGUUCUUCCUCUGCAGCGCUGCAUAAAGGUGACUAAUGAAGUUGUCACGUGUGUCUUCCCCUCUGAAGCUGAGAAACACAUCAUGCUUGGUUAGAGAAGCAGACAUGGCCAAUGAUGAAGGGUUUCAAUUUUCUCUGCAACUCUCAGAUCCCUUUGUUUGUAAGCAACUUGCAUAUAUUCUAUUUCUAUCACAAAUCAACUUUUGGAAAAGCCUUCAAUUCAAAAUAUGCUUCACAGCUUUAUAUUAACGUGCCUAGCUUUAUACCAUUCUUACGCAUUGGUAAAGAUUCUUCAAUAUCUUUACUCAAUUUGUUUCUUCAAUACCUUUUACACAUUCUUACGCAUUGGUAAAGAUUCUUCAAUAUCUUUACUCAAUUUGUUUCUUCAAUACCUUUUACAUAUAAAGAAUCGGAUUUGUUUAAUAUAUUUUAGAAAAUAACCAGUAAACAGAAAACUAGGUUAAUAUGACUAAAUGAAUAAAGAUAGUACUCAUAAAAAAUAUUUUAGAUUACAAGUGGUAUAACUAAAAUAAAAUAUUUUAUUUUUAAAAUAAAAUUUAUAAAUAAAUAAAAAAAUAUAAUUGUUUAGUUUUCGGUGUAAAACAAUAUUCAUUUUUAUAAAAAAAAAUCUUUUCUCUUUUAUUUUAUUUUUAUAUUUCUAAUUAGAGUAUUCUUGAGUUUGACAAUAGAAUCCUUUCUUUGGACUUUUGGAAUUAAAUAAAGAUGUUAAUUGAAAAAAAAAAUUGAAAUAGAAACUAAUUUAGAAACCAAAUUUCUUUUUAGUUUCUAAAAUGGUCUCUAAUUUAGUUACUAUUGCAACUAAUUGUUUUGGUUUCUAGAAAUUGGUUUCUAUUUCAUGAUUUUCUUGUAGUGUAUACUGAAGGUGUGCACCCCUAUGAAAUGUUUUUAUUUCUAGUUGAUGUGUGAUUUCCAAUAAUUAUAUAAAUUGAUUGUUAUAUGCAGUGUGAAGUUUAACCUUGAUUUUUACUUGAAAAAAUGGAUUUUAAUAUGAGGUAUGCAUGCUCUCAUACUCAAAUUCAAUAAGCGGAAUUUUCACAUGUCAAUAGAAUUUGAACCUGCAUAGUUUUGGGCACUCUCCACCUCAAAUUCGCUCAAUGUUUUUUCCUGCGUUUAAGCGAAAUUACAUGCAGAUUUUGGAGUACUUUCGGGCUUAAAAUUGCUCAAAGAAAUUUCCCUAUGGCAAGCAAAUUUAAGCUACAAUUGUUUGGGUGUUCUUUGCCUCAAAUUCGUUGCCUCAAAUUCGUUCAGCGAAGAUUUCUCUGGGCUUAAGCCCCAACUUCAUGGGCUCGAGCCAUUUUGACAACAUUUGUCAUCUUUGCUUAGAUAUCUUUUGGUUUGUUUUCUAUAGGUCAUGAAAUUGAAUUAAAUCUUUUGAAAUUUAACAUGUGUUUAAAAUAAGUAAAUCUAACAUUUAUAAUCAUGCAACAUGUGUUUAAUUUAUAAAAAAAAUAUAAAACAAAUACUCAUUAUAUAUUCAAUUGAUAUGUAAAAUUUUAAAUAUUAUGUGAUUAUUGUUGAUAUUUUGUAACGGUUUUAAAAAUAUAAACUUCUAUAUGAUUGAAUGAUAUAUUAUCGAUACAUAGUAAUUUCAAGUAAGGAAAUACUUUGUUAAGGAUAGUUAGGAUGUGUCUUGAUUAGUAAUACAUUUAGAAUAAGAUAUUUGACUCUAUUCACAUAUUAAGGUGGUGACAGUCAAAUGAGAUUUAUAUGAUUUGAUCUACAAUAUAAAAAAUCAUAAUCUAACAUGCCAUAUGAAUUAACCUUGUCAUAUUAGGUGAUUCUAUUAUGAUAUUCUUAUUCGCAUAGAUGUGUGAAUUUCACAAUGGGGUAUUAUAACAUGUGCAAAUUUUUUAGUCUAAAUCAAUGUACGAUUCUUUCAGAAAUAGGGUCAAGUGUACAUGUGGAUCUAAUUAGAUUUUUGACAUGAGUAAUAUGGAACACAAGUCAUUUAGAGACACUUAAUUGUUUAAUAUAUUAGGAAUGAAUGAAGUGUGAUUAUUCAUAUGAUUAUGAUUGAAUGAUUCAAAUAUAAAUUUUAAAAAUCAUUAACUUAGCCUAAUUUCUUGUUAGUAUCAUUUUUUUGUUAGUAUCGUUUUUUUUUUAGAUUUGUUAUGAUCGUGAGUUACAUGUGAACAUAUGAUGUUGUAUGUUAUAGGCCUCAAAAUUGAAAAUGAGAGAGUUUUUUCUUUUAAUUCUUUUGAUGUUUUAUUUUGAUGUAUAUAUUUGAUUAUGAUAUAAUAAUAUUACAAUGUAAAUGUUAUUUAUAUACUAUCACAUGGUAAAUUAAAAUUUAAUAAGGUAGUUAAGGAUGUUAUAAUUAUUCUUUUAAUUUAUUUUAUUUCACUGUAUAUUUAGGUGUAUUACGUAAAAUGUAUAGUUAAAAAAAAUAAUGUUAUUUUGAAAUUUAAGCUUUUGUUAAAAUUAUACCAUUUGAAAAGGAACACAGAACAAUCUUGACAAUUAUACUGACUUAGUACUUAUUUUAAUUUAUUAUAUUCAUGAGUAUUAUUUUUUUCUUAAACAUAAAUAUUGGAUAAAAAAUAUAAAUAACAUUUAUUUAUUUCAAAUUUAAAAAUCUUUAAAAUAAAUAUAAAUAAUAUUUUUAAUCAAGAUGUGUUUUUUAACAAUUUUUUUUAAUUUAAAAAUAAUUAAUUCGGACGAUGAUUAAAGAAAUAUUAACAAAUUAUUUCUGCGAUUAUAAUAAACCUUCAAUAAUUUUUGCACUUUCUAGCAUAUAGAAUAUGGAUCCUUUUGUGAUUUUUCUUUUCUAAAGUACAAUUGAUAUUUUAAAUGUUUUUCUAUUUAAUUUUCCUUUCUUAAUGCACAUAAAAAUUUCAGUGCACAAUUAUUACUCACCUUAAUUCAAAAUGGAAAUUAAAAUUCAAGAACCCUACUUAUAUAUUAAUAUUCAACGAUUUAAAAUAUUAGUAUGCAAAUUAAUCUUUCUUAAUAAUAUUUGUAACAAUUUUUAAUAAUUCAAUGUGAAAUAUGUAAUAAUUACUUUUCUAUGAUUCAGAGGGAAAAUUAUUCCAACUAGACUUUUACAAAUAUAUUUCAAGUGGUAAUAUGAUUUUAAACAAAAAUAGUAUUCUCCACAAAAAUAAAUAGUUACUGUUCCUAAUUAAACAAGUCACAUUCUUGAACAAAAUAUCAAAUAACAAGGAAUUAGACUAUGAAAUGAUGACCAAUUAUAUUAAACAACAUAACAUACAUUUCUCAAUGUACACAAGGUAUAAAUAAUACAAUAUCAUCCAAAACCUGUGUUCACUAUGUAAAUAAACCAUUUUUUUUGCCAUUACCUCUUUCAUGAUGAUGAUUUGUUUACUAGGGAUUGCAAUGAUAGGUCAUGAUCAAAACUUAGGCCUAAGACUAAAAAUAGAAUGAAAUGAGCAUGAAAAUAAAGAUAACUUUUGAGUGAGACACAUUCUUCCUUACAAGCAGCAAGUUCUUCCAGGUUAUCUUCUCUUCCUUCAACCGUAGCUGUGCAACCGCCUGUUGUUCAUUGCCACCAAUAUCUCUAGUGCCAAAACUAUGUUUUCCAAAAUUAGAGUUAUAUGGCUUUAUCUGUGAAGUCUUACCAGCCAUAAUGUUUUAUUUUACUGUUUUGUUGUAAUCAUGCCAAUAGAUAAAUCGUGGAUUUGUAAACCACGAAACACCAUUGAGUAUGCAAAUGGGUUGAAUGUGUUUUUGGAUAUUGCAUUUCAACAUGCUAAUGGUCCUGUAAUUAAGUGUCCAUGUGCAAAGUGUGGUUUCAAAAAGUGACAAACAAGGGAUGUAAUCCAAGAACACUUAACAUUUACAACUUUCCCUCAGAACUACAAAACUUGGUAUUUGCACGGUGAAAGACCAAGUGUAAUUGAGCCUAUGGUCACUACAAGUGUGCAUGUCAUUGAAGAUUUAUUUGAAUCUCAAAAUACAAUGGAAGACAUGUUGAAUGAUGCAUUCGAGUUUGCGGGACAUGAUGAGGAUACUGAAGUUGAUGGUUUGCAAACUAAUAUGGUGGGUGAUGAAGGAAUAUGAACUUUGAUGAAUUGAUGAGGGACAAUAAUGAACCCUUAUAUGAAGGUUGUACAAAGCAUUCGAAGUUAUCAUUCAUGUUGAAGUUGUACCAUAUCAAAUGCAUGAGUAGAAUGAGUGACAAAGCAAUGACCAUGAUUCUAGACUUGCUAAUGAACACAUUUGAACAUGCUAAGUUUCCUAACUUGUUUUAUGAGGCGAAGACUGUGAUUACCAAACUUGGACUUAAUUAUGUCAAAAUACCAGCUUGCCCAAAAGACUGAAUGCUAUAUUGGGGCGAAGACAAUGAAGGCUUAGAAGAAUGUAAACGGUUCAAAACGUCUAAGUGCAAAAAAAAAAAAAGAUAAGAAGCAAUUGCAUUACUUUCCAUUAAAACUGUGAUUGCAAAGAUUGUUUAUGAGUUCUAAGAUGAUUGAGUCUAUGACAAGGCAUGCAUCAAAGGAUAAUCAAGAUGGAUUGAUGAGGCAUCCUAGAGAUUCUGAGGCUUGCAAAUCAUUUUAUUGCAUCCAGAAUUUGUAAAUGACCAUUGAAAUGUACGAUUAGACUUAGCUGCUUAUGGCUUUAAUCCUUAUGAAAACAUGAGUAAAAACCAUAGUAUAUGACGAGUGGUUAUCAUCCCAACAAUCACCCUCCUUGGGAGUUAUGAAGCAAACAUCUUUUAUCCUCUACAUGAUAAUUUCUGGAAAACAAAUGGUAGAAAAUGACAUUGAUGUUUAUUUAAAACCACUUAUAAGCAAAUUGAAGGAGUUAAUAGUAUGAUCAUGUAAUUAUUAUUUAUAUACUAAAUAUUACGACAUAUAGUAAUUUAAAAUUUGAUAAGGUAGAUGAGGAUAUUAAAAUAUCUCUUUUAAUUUAUUUUAUUUUAUUGUAUAUUUAGGUGUAUUAUGUAAAAUAUAUAAUUAAAAAAAAUAAUGUUAUUUUAAAAUUUAAAGAAUCACGUAUAGAAAGAAACAUAUAACAAUCUUGACAAUUAUAUUCUGACUUAGAGAUACUUAUCUUAAUUUAUUAUAUUCAUGAGUAUUAUUUUUUUCUUAAACAUAGAUAUUGGAUAAAAAAUAUUAAUAAUAUUUAUUAUUUAAAUUUUAGAAAUAUUUAAAAUUAAAAUUAAAAUUAAAUAAUAUUUUUAAUUAAAAUAUGAAAAAAAUUCCUUAACAAUUUUUUUAAUUUCAAAAUAAUUAAUUCAGAGGAUGAUUGAAAAAAUAUUAACAAAUCAUUUCUGCGUUUAUAAUAAACCUUCAAUAAUAUUUGUACUUUCUAUCAUAUAGAAUACUUAAUGGAUCCUUUUGUGAUUUUUCUUUUCUAAAGUACAGUUGAUAUUUUAAAUGUUUUUCUAUUUAAUUUUCAUUUCUCAAUGACAAAUAAAAUGGUUCAGUGCACAAUUAAUUAUUCUCACCUUAGAUUUCAUUCAUCUCAUUCCAUUUCCACACUCAAAUCAUUCUCACAUUUUUUUCUACCUAUUUCACAAAGUUUUUGUUAAAAUAUGGAAAUUAAAGUUCAAGAACCCUACUUAUAUUUCAUAUUCAACAAUUUAAAAUAUUAAUAUGCAAAUUAAUAUUUCUUAAUAAUGUUAUUUUUAUGUAAAAAUUAAAAUGUAGUUUAGUCAUUCAUACUUAGAUGGAUAAAAAUGGUUUUAGAAAGAAAAAAAUAUGCAUUUUUUUGAAAGGUUAUCUAAACUCUAAACUCAUUGAUGAAUUAAUAAUAAUAAAUAAUAUGGAAUUCUAUACGAAUAGCAUAUAAAUGUUUUCUUGUUGAAACUGAUAAUUAAUUCAGUCUAGGGACAAUUAUCGCGGUAUUUGUUCUUUUAUUUUUAAUGUUUAAACAAUUAUAAAAUUCUGUUUUUAGAUAUUAAAAUGAUAGUUUUCAUUUACAGAUUAAAAUAUUACUUGUUUCUUUUAAGAUUUUUUGUAUUAUAAUUAUUUGUUGUCUGAAUUGUUUUGAUUUAACAUGUUGUUUUCUUGGGCUAUGAUAUUGUGAGGUUUUAUUACAUGCAGGUACGUGAAUAUUUUUUUUAUCCUAGUUGUAUAAAUCAGGAAAAUUGUUUUUCACAUUAUAAUAACCGUUUAACAACUCUAAAUAAUAAUAAAAUAUUAACUCAUAUUGUUUAAUUAAAGUAUAAAUUAAAUUAUUAAAUAAAAAAGUAGUAAAACUGGUUGCAGGAUGGGAAUAUGAUUAUUUUUAACUGCUAGCUCCUGAUUAUUCUUUUCUAAUAAAAAAAACACCAAUAGCAACAAAACAAGUUUUGACACACGUAGGUUUGGCAAUUGUUUUAAUAGCUGAAAAUAGUACAACAAUUUUUAAUUACCACAAACUGCAUCUUAAAUCAUAAAAAAUUAGCAUUUUGUUAGUUCAUAUAUAAUAAAAUUUCCAUAAAACAGCCAAUUGUAUUAAUUAUUAAUAAUGUAUUUACAAUUUUUUUAGAUAAUUUUUUUACUAUAAAGACAUUUAUUUGAGAUUGAAAUUGUAAUUAACACUUUUUGGUCAAAGAAUAAUAUAUUUCACUUGAUUUUUUGUAUUAAAUAUUUUGUAUAGCGCUGAGACAAAAAAAAAUCUCAUAUAAAUCCCUAUGUGCUACAAGUACAAUAUAACAUCCUUAAUGUAAGCAAUAAAAAUGAUGAAUACUCAAAGUCGUGUAAUUACGCAAAAGAAUCAAGUGAUUUUUAAAAGAACUCACAUGAUCAGUUUAAAUUUUGACGAUAAAAUACAUUAAUUAUAUAUAUUUAUUCAAAAUUUCAAUUAUAUUAUGCAUUAAUGGUUUUAUGCUUUUAGAGGAAUCAGAGAAACUUAGAAAAGCUCCUAAAAACUAAUGUAACCCUAUGAAUAGAAGAGAGCUAAAAGAAAGAGAAAAUGGAAGUGAGAAAAGAUGAUAAUUAAUAAACACGCUCUCUUCAUAACAUAGAGUCUUUAAACCUAUAUUCCCUCAAACAAUUAUAAAGAAUUAACAAUCACACUUUUAUAAGUCAUCACCCACAUGAAACAAAACAAGGUGCCUCAAUAUGAAUAAACCAAGAUUAAUAAGAAAUAUGAGGUUUCACUAACCAAGCUCAGAAUUUUCUGCUUUUAUAGCUCCAUGCACAAACCUAAUACAAUGAUAUGAUAUUCACUGCAAAUGCAACCCAAAUAUGCUAAAGAAGUUAAUGAAACCCAAAUAUAAAGAAUUUGAAGAGAAUGCAACUCUGGGACAACAGAGCACACCAUCUCAUGCUGAACAGAAACAUCAAACUAUAUCUAACAAUAACUAUACCUAUGUUUGCUUUGGGUCUGUUUUUAGUUUCAAUGUUACUCUUUAUCUGCAGGUUGGGAACAUAUCUUGAUGAAAUAUAGAAACAUUUUUAUUCAUAAUAUAUAUAAGGAUUACACAUUCAUAAUUAUUUCUUUCUGUCGUAGCAUUGUCUACCUCAAAUCACUGCAACUUUCUGUUGUUGGUAUUUGCAUAUCACGAUGGUUAUUGAGAAAUUUAGGAGUUUGCUGUUGUGUACCAGAAGUAAAAUAGAAGGUUCAUUUUUUGGUCAUCAUCAAUUAUUAAUGUAAAUAGAUAUAGGUGAAGGAGAUCAGUAUUAUGCAUUGUAUCAUGGACCAUUAGAAGACUAGGGUCACCAAUUGGAGGCAUUGGUAACUUUGGCUAGUAAAACUAAAACCAAAGUCCAUUUUUACAAAGCCUUGGUCUAAUUCACCUUAUAGCUGUACUUUUUCCUCCAUUUUAAUAAUAUUAAGUUUUCAUUUUCUAUGCAUAAUCUUGGGUAAUUUUCUUUUUAUAUCAAUGCUUGAAGUGUCAAAUUGUUACAAGCUGGAUUAUUAAGAAAGAAAAGAGUGCAUUCUGGAUGCUCGAAAGGGAGUGUUUCCUAGAAAAAAAAUGUGAUUUCAGGGUGUCCAGGCUCAGGUAGCAAUGGUAGGAGUUCCACAUUGAAAUGGAUGAACUACUUGAUUUAGUACUUUGGGACUCUCUCACCUAAUGGACUAGUAUUUUGGGUUAGCUUCUCUCCCCUUAAUGCUUAAGUCCUAAAAAACAGUUUUUCUGUUUCUAUUUAUCUUUUAGGGUGUGAUUAGGACCAUGAAGCAGUGGGUGUUUUUUCCAUUAAUGAACUUUGCCACUGCCACAGAUCACCUAGGUUAACCUAAUUAAGUCUUCUGAAUUGUAUUUUGUAAUUAAUUCUUGUAAAACAUGGAGUGUAAAAUUCAUGUACAUUUUUCUUUUCCUCUUUUGAUUUGGAUGUCAAACUAGCAACUUCAUGUUUUGUCUGGUUGGUCUAUCACAUUUAUGUAGGUUGUAAUCUAUUUUGCCUAAUGCAUCAGUUGCAGAUAGGUACUAAAUUAUCUUAGUUCGGAUACACCUUGCCAAUUAGAUUAAGAUCAAGAAUUUAAAGUGAAUGGUUCACUUCUGAGUUCUUAAAUGAGAUAAAAUGUUCAGAGAUACUAAAUCAUCGCCUUCAUUUGAAAAUUGGCGUGCCUAUUAUGCUUUUGAGAAAUAUUGAUCAAACCAACGGUCUUUGUAAUGGAACAAGGUUGCAAGUUAUUGAUUUGAAGAAAAUGUUAUUUGUGCAAUAGUUCUAACAGGAACAAAUAUUGGUGAUAAAAUCUUCAUUUCAAGAAUGAAUUUGAUCCCUUUAGAUGUAGGUAUGCCAUUCAAAUUCCAGAGAAGACAAUUUCCAAUAGCUUUAUGUUUUGCAAUGACAAUUAAGAAAAGCCAAGGUCAAUUAUUGACCAAAGUUGGUUUAUAUUUUUCACAUCCAAUUUUCACACAUCGAUAGUUGUAUGUAGCUAUUUAUAGAGUUCGAAAGAAAAAAGAUUUAAAAAUUCUAACUCUUGAUGAAGAUGGAAUGCAACAAACAAGAAAAAGAAAAUGUUUACACUGAAAUUUUUGACAAUAUUUGAAAACAAUAGAAUUAUAUGAUAAACUUGGAAUGGCUAAUUCUCCCUGCAACCAAUAUUUUUGAACCUGCAACUUUUAAAUUUUUGAAAAUGCUCUUUAUUCCAGAAAUGAAAAUAAUACAUUACAAAAAAAAUAGAUCCAAAAAAGAUUAUUGUGUUUUGGUAAUAAAAAUCGGAAAACAAAAAUCAAAAGCCCAUUAUGAAUAAGAAAAUUCGUAAUACAAAAAAUUUGGUCUUAAAAACAAAAUCUGAAAACAUAUUCCAGAAAGAAAAUCCGAAAUGUAUUUUUAUAUAUAACCCAUUUUUUCAAGGGAGUUUCGUCUUUUCUAUUGUAAAAGGGGUUGGAAUUUGCUCCCUUGGAAUUAUAGUUUCUUAUGUGUGAUGUAGUAACAGUUGCCUUAUUUAAAAUGUUACUAAAUAACAUAUAAUUUAUAUCUGUUAUUUUUAUUCUGUUAUGACUUUAUAUAUUUGUCACAACAUGAAUGAGGCACAAACCCAUCUCAUGUUAACGAAGUUGAGAAUUUUCUGAUUUUACAGGUCCAUGCAAAAAUCUAAUAUAAUGAUAUGAUAUUCAAUAUCAAGAGGUACUUGUCGUAAAACGGGGAAUAUGAGAGACUCCAUAGAAUGAAGAAAAAGUAUAAAGAGGAUUUACAAAUUAACCUUUCAAAUGCAGCUCCUCAGAAUUUCAUAAUGCCUUCACUGCAAAUGCAACCCAAAUAUGCUAAAGAAGUUAAUCAAACAAUACAUGAGGAGUUUCAAGAAAAUGCAACUCUGGAACAACAGAGCAACCCAUCUCAUGCUGAACAGAAACAUCAAACUAUAUCUAACUUAGAAAUCUUUGUCAACAAUUGAACGAACCCACUCCUUAAAUACCAUUGAAAAUGUAAAUAAAACAAAAUAAAUUAAAAACGAGAAAUUCAUAAUAAAAAUUAAACGUGUUGAACCCUGUAAUUUAGAAGUAUUAACGAUAAGGCAGUUUAGAUCCUCACCAAUGAAAGAGACUAGCUGACUAGGUAGCUUUCGGCCUUCCUCUUCCUAUCUUCCCUUGUUUCUCUUGAAGACUCUGCAAUAUUGCUUCCAUUGGAUUGUUCAAAGUCAACAGCACCACCAUAUUUAUCAUCUUUCUUUUUCGUAUAAAGAGGGCAUAUGCCGCAUUCCUUUAUUGUGAUACCUGAUUUCAACCGAAAGUGAUAAUCACACGGACUGAUAAGUGAAGCUGCGAGCAUCACAGAUUCUAAGGCUCAUGCCGCUCGCCCUUAGGAACUCCAAGUUAAAUUUCCACACGAAUGUGUGAUCUUGAUCAACACAUCUCUCUUCACCAUUCGAAAUAGCUGUUUAACACAUCUAUCAUCGCUGCAGAAACUUAAAUCUUCAUUUAUAGUCACUGAAUGUCCCUUCCCACGAAAAUGGAACCAACCAGGAACUGCAGUCCCUGGAAAACAGAAGAACACAGACCUAUAUCUAUCGUCGGUCAUCCUAAGCCUUGCAUCCUCCUCAAUGUUAGCACGACCACCUGAAUCCAGUUGCUGAGCAUUGGUGAAAUGAAAUUUGAAUACACCCUCUUUGGAAUUUGAGAGGUUUCGAACAAGAGAAUUUGGCAUCACUCUUCUAAUGGAUGGGCAAUCCAAUGCCACGAGUUGCUUUAGAAAUGGUGGAAUCUGUGGGAUGCAUUCAAGCUUUUUGCAGUCGCUUAAAUCAAGCGAUUUCAAGCUUGAAAGAUGAGCAAUGCUCUCAGGAAGGUUCACGAUUCCGCUAUCACGCAGUGAUAGUUCCAUUAAUAACGUCAAACGACCAAUGUGUCUUGGGAUUUCUGUUAAUUUGGAGCACCCCGAACAAUUUAGAGAGAAGCUUCAGAUUAACAAUGGAGUUUGAAAGUGACUCGAUAUCAGUGUAUUUCUGAAGCUCCAAGGAUCGAAGAUUAACGAAAUUGCAAAAUGAGGAAGGCAACUGCGCAAACUCAGUUGUUGAAGCCCUACCAAACGGCACAAGGAUGAAGGUAGUGCCUGUAUGGCUGUGGCGUCUAAGAUGAGCACCGCUAGAUCUUCCAACGUGUCCUGAAUCUGGGGUAAAUUUUCCAAUUUUGAGCAACCACGGAGAGAAAGUUGCUUUAGGAAUUUCAUAUCAGAAAGGUCAAAUGGAAAGAUUGUAAGGGAAGAACAGUAAGAGAGAUCUAAAUGACAGAGCUUCUUGCAACUAAAGUGUAAGGGCACACCUUUCAUGAAUUUUGUCAACACUUCUAAGUAUAUAGUAUUAUUAGCCACUUCUUCUUCUUCAUUAUAUCUGUCAAAAGUAAUUGAGGAAGUUGGGAAAAUAUGACCACUGUAUGCACGAGGUUCACCACGCCGUCCUGCACCAUGCCGUUCUGAGAAAUUUAUCUCUUUGAUCAUAUCCGGUUUCUGGCGAUGGAAUCUUGAGAAAGUUUGACGUUGACGCUCCACGCUCCAGUAUCACAUGAGGGAAUCUUGAGAAAUUUCCACGUUGAUGCCCCAGUUUCUGAUGUGGGUAUCUUGUGACGCUCCAGUUUCACAUGACGAAAUCUGGGUUCACUGGUUGAAAACAUAUUAAGCUUCCCACAACAGGAAAUAUUAAUCCAUCCUUGUAAUGUGGAUAAAAUGUUGCUGGGAAUAUUUAUACUAUUCAGAUCAUAACAAUUAUCUAAACAUAAAUAACUGAGCUUGCUGAGUAAUAUCGAAGAGUGAACUUUAAUCAACUUUCCACAAUAACUCAGAAUUAUUUCUUCAAUAUUUGGUAAGAGAGAAAAGUCUGGUAUUCUAGUAAGUUUCCGAGAACCACUCAGGUCAAGCCUUUUCAAGUUUGGUAAAUUCUGCCACAAAUAGUAAAUGAAUCAGGUAACAAAUAAAAACCACUGUUAAAAAAAUCACACUCUGAACUAACAAAACUGUGGCUAUUCACUAUCAACAAUCCCUCUCAAAUACACUUCUACUAAUACAUUAACAACAAUAUCAUUAUAUUAACCAUAAAAUAUUACAUUUCUUCAGUUAAUACGUAGGACAAUAUAAUAAUCAGGUCACUCAGCUAAUGAAAAAAAUUAAACAACAUGAACUCAAUUAAAUAAUAUAAAACUUUUGAGUACUAGAUAAAAUAAGAAAAUUAAUAAAAAUUCAAUUUGAAAAUAAUCAAAUUUAUAAGAUACUUAAAACUUAAUUAAACCUACAAAUUUUCAUUAUAUGGAGUUAAAUACUAUAAAUAUUUACCACAUAAGUAGAAUGUUUAAAUAUAUAUUUCUUCACGUUGGAAGUUUUUUUCCUCUAUCUUAUAAGUUUUCUUUGUUUCUUUAAUAUUUUUUAAGCCAAUGUGAUUUUUUUAAUAUAAAAUAUUAUUAAAGAUAAAAUAUGAAGAUAGGGUAAUUAAAUAUAAUUUUUUAUUUUUUAGAAAUGAUGAAAAUUAUAAUUAAAUUAACUAAAUUAUAUAAAAUUCUAUUUCAUUUACAUAACUACUUUUCAUAUUAAAAAAACUAUAUAAGAUCUUGAAACUAUAAUUAAUAUUUCUACUCAUUUUUCGUUUUUGUUGGUGAAAUCUUGAUUUUGGGAUAGUAUUAGUGAGAUAUUGUUUGGAGUUAAAAACAAGAAAUUCUUUUGCAUAAUCAAUUUGAACAGUUUUGAUUUUGAAACCAGAUUUUCAGAGAAGAGUUUAAAGCGUUCAAAUGCAGCAAGAGCUUGAGAUUUAGCAUGCUAGAGAUAAAUUCAUGUAUAUUUUAAAUAUGCAUUAGGAAAAGAGAUAUCGUAUGAUGCAACAUUAUUAGCACAAACAACAAACAGCAGAACGUCCCCAAAUAUCAAUAUAGAUAAAUUCUAAAAGGUGAUUAUCCACACUGUUUUAGAACAACUUUGAUUACAGAAAAACUAUAACGCCCAAGUCUAUUAUGCCACAAGUGAAAAGAAGUUUUUUCAUAUUUAAAAGAUGUGUAGUUAGCAGAAAAAACAGAGGAUCAGAGAUCAAGAAAGACAGAGAGAUCAUCUUUAAGUGUGCCUUGUAGAAGAAUCUGUUUAGUUACUUAGUCUUUAACAUAGCAAGAAUGAGGGUGAAAUUCAAAAAACACAUUGUUGUUACGAGCAAACUUUGAAACACUAAGCAAAUUCUUAGUAUAAUGAGAAACAUGUAAAAGAUCAAGGAGAGAGAAGGAAGUACAAGAGGUAGACGACACACAGGAAGCAGAACCAAUGUGGGAGAUUUUUAUACCUGCACCAUUACCAAGUUUAACGUUCGCAAUGCCAUGAUAGAUUUGUUGAUCAUUGAACAGAGUAUGGUCGUUUGUUAUAUGGUGAGAGACACCGCUAUCUGGGUACCAUAAUGGAUCUUCUAAAGAUGAUGGUGGACCAAGAAGAGAGUAAGAAGAGUCAUCACGUGGAGGUGGAGAGAAAUGAGAUGUGUUUGCAGAGGAGGAUGGUGGUGUAGUACGAUCAAACCAGUGCCAACAAUGAAGAGCAGUGUGUCCAAGUUUGGAGCAUAUUUGACAGCGAACAGGGUUGCGUUUCCAUGAUGAAGACGUAGUGGAGUUCCAAGAAGAGUAUUGGGAAGGUCGGGGUUUGCCGCGGUUGAACUGAUUCUAGUUAGAUGUGGGAUUGUAACCACGACCACCACAGGAGGAGUUGGAAAAGGGGAGGUGGAGAGAAAUGAGAUGUGUUUGCAGAGGAGGAUGGUGGUGUAGUACGAUCAAACCAGUGCCAACAACAAUGAAGAGCAGUGUGUCCAAGUUUGGAGCAUAUUUGAGAGCGAACAGGGUUGCGUUUCCAUGAUUACGACAGUAAUAAAUGUAUUAUAUUCUUCAGAUAGCCUUCAAGGAUGAUGUCAAUAUGAUCAGUGGAAACAGGGGCAUCAAUAGCGGCAAGCAUGUUGACGGCGUUCUUGAUAUCAUGGAGAUAGGAGGAGAUGGAUCUGUGAUGACCUGAUUUUGUUGUUGGUACCAUUAGAGACUUGGGGACUGUCAUCAGUGGUGGAAGAAGUGGUUCUUGAUGGAACACUAGUGUCGUCAAGAAAAUGACCCAGUUUGAGCCCGCAAAUGGAGGCAAGGACUUGAUGUUUCCAGAGAAGAUAGUUAUCUUCAUCUAGUUUAAGAGUGAUGGGUGUUGUGAACUGUUGAACGGAAGGCAUGACCAGAGGUAACGGGCAAGAAGAAGAUGCAAAAGAAGAUGAAGAGAUAUGAGUGCAGUGCAUUAGAAUAGAGAGAGAAAGGAGAAAGAUAUUAUCUUAGUAUAUGUGCUAAAGGUAUAUAAGGAGUGCAGAACUGGAAACACUUACAAAGUUGUCGUUACACAGUUAUAGUAUGGUUAACAAUGUAUAAUACAGAAAACAUGCUUGUGUACUUUAUUUUUAUCUUUGAAAGUUUAGAACACAGAGGAACAUAGAUAGCUAGAAAAACCUGAUCUCCUUCCCAGAGUUGUUCAAGAUGGCAGCCUGGCAUUUCCAGGGUCACAGUCUGGCAUUUCCAGGGUCACUAGAUUUUGUGGGCAAAAGUUUGGAGGCCAGAAUCUUUGAGGGAAACCGUUCCAAUAAAGAAACUUUAGAGUGUCUGGCAGACCUACAAGAGAUGAUUCAAGAGACACAUUUGAUAUGAAUAUAGGCAUGUAGACCAUAAGCAUCAUAAGAUUGUCCAUCUUUUCGAAACUUUGUGCAUGUACUACAGCAUCUUUUACUUUGUUCGUAUGUAGUAAUAUACACUGUAUUGCAUCUGACCCCUGAAAGUAAAUCAAUUUAAUUAGGAGAAAAAAAACAUGAAAUGUUGCAUUGCAGGAUGUUUAAUGACAUCUCAGUGGUUUGCAAUUUUUUACAAAGUAAAUCCAUUCUCAAUUGAGUAACGACAUAAUACCUUGUUCUUUCUUAAAACCUCUCAAAUUUCCUCAGCAUUAAACAAUCGGCUGCGUUUUCCAGGAUGCUGAGGACACUCUUUACGAACAAUUUCUUGACUCAUUUCUNNNNNNNNNNNNNNNNNNNNNNNNNNNNNNNNNNNNNNNNNNNNNNNNNNNNNNNNNNNNNNNNNNNNNNNNNNNNNNNNNNNNNNNNNNNNNNNNNNNNGAUCCAUCUUUUUCUGCUGCUACCAUGUCGAACUCCCUUCAAAUCAAUACAAUGUCUUCACCAUCAAUCAGCCAAGUGAUUAAUGUUAAACUCACACAAGAAAAUUAUUUAUUGUGGUCUGCUCAAAUCCUUCCCUAUUUACGUAGUCAGGGGCUGGUUGGGUUUGUGGAUGGAUCCAUGCCACCACCAAACCAAACGAUUACGGUUGAGUCAAGUGAAGAAACAGGGAGCCGCAAAAUCCUGAAUUCACAGUCUGGUACCCCCAGGACCAGCUGGUACUCAGUCUCAUCAACUCAUCGGUUACCGAGGAAGUUCUCAGCACGGUGGUCGGAAUCACCACUGCACGAGAAGCCUGGGAUAUGCUGGAGCGGCAAUUUGCCUCCACAUCUCGAGCACGAGCAAUGCAGAAUCAUAUGGAACUCUCCACGAUCCAAAAGAAGGACAUGACAAUUGCUGACUAUUUUCGUAAAGUAAAACGUCUCGGAGACACUCUGGCUGCCAUUGGCAAGCGAGUAGAGGAUGAAGAACUCAUCGCCUACAUGCUGCAAGGACUUGGUCUAGAUUAUGAUCCUCUUGUCACAAGCAUUACAACUAGAACAGAUGUUUACACUGUCAGCGAUGUGUAUGCUCAUAUGCUGAGCUACGAGAUGCGUCAUCUGCGUAAUGGUACUCUUGAGCAAUUUCCUUUUGCUAACAAUGUCAACAGCAUGUCUAAUCGAGGAGGAACUAAUGGACGUCGUGGUGGUCGUGGUCGUCAAUCAAAUGGUGGUCGAGGACAAACAUGGCACACUAGAAACAAUUCUGGACGUCAGCCAUCAAAGGCACAAAGUAACUCAGACAAAGUCUGUCAGAUUUGUGGUAAGCCAAACCAUGAUGCUUUGCAAUGUUGGCACAGAUUUGAUCAGGCAUAUUAAGCCGAAGACAAUCUUAAACAAGCAGUUGUGGCCACAAGUGGAUAUACUGGUGAUGCAAACUGGUACGUAGAUACUGGAGCCACAGAUCACAUCACCAACGAGUUAGAAAGACUUACCACCAACGAACAUUACAAUGGCACUGAUCAGAUUCAAGUUGCAAAUGGCUCAGGUUUUUCUAUCUCUCAUAUUGGGAACUCAUUAAUUUCUGGUUCAUCUAGAUCUCUUGUACUGAAACAUAUCCUAUAUGCUCCUAAAAUCAAUAAACAUCUGAUUUCAGUACAAAGACUAGCAUCUGAUAAUAAUGCCUUUGUGGAAUUUCACCCACACUGUUUUUUUGUUAAGGACCGAGCCACGAAGGAACUUCUGCUCACAAGUAGAUGUAAGAAUGGCCUCUACACUUUACCAAAUAACUCCAGCAAAGCAUUCCCGACAGCCAAACUUUCGAAAGAACAAUGGCAUAGAAGACUUGGGCAUCCUGCUUUCCCAGUCACAAUUAGAAUCUUGAAAAAUAAUAACUUAGCUCUAGAUACUAGAGUUUCUUCUUCCUUAAUUUGCCAUGCUUGUCAACUAGAAAAGCACAUCAAUUACCCUUUGUUUCUUCUCAACAUGUAUCUACAGCACCUCUUCAAUUGAUUCAUACUGAUGUAUGGGGUCCAGCCAUUGUCUUAGUGAAUAAUUCUAAAUAUUAUGUUUCAUUUGUUGAUGAUUUUAGCAGAUAUGUUUGGAUUUAUUUUUUGAAAUACAAGUCUGAUGUUGAGUCUGUGUUUCAUCAGUUUCAAAAACAUGUUGAAACCAUGCUAAACACCAAAAUUCGCUCUGUCCAGUCAGAUUGGGGGGGUGAAUACCAUCGUUUGCACCAAUAUUUCAAAACAACUGGAAUUGAGCAUCGUCUUUCUUGUCCUCACACACAUCAGCAAAAUGGGUUGGUAGAAAGAAAGCACAGACACAUUGUGGAAACUGGCCUUACUUUACUUGCCCAAGCUAACAUGCCUUUGUCCUAUUAGGAUGAAGCCUUCAAUACAGCUUGUUACCUUAUAAAUAGACUACCAUCUCGAAUCAUACAAGCAAGACACACCACUUCAUAAAUUAUUUGCAAAAAAUCCAGAUUACACCAUGCUUAAGGUGUUUGGCUGUGCUUGCUGGCCCAAUUUAAGGCCUUACAACACCAAGAAACUGAGUUUUCGAACCACUAAGUGUGUCUUCUUAGGCUAUAGUUCUUCUCAUAAGGGAUACAAGUGCUUAGAUAGAAGUACAAAACGAAUUUACAUCUCUAGAGAUGUAAUCUUUGAUGAAAAUGUGUUUCCUUUUGAAGAAUUAAAUUCUAAGUCAUCAAUCCAAACCAAAAAUUCACACCAGCCUGCUCUACUUCCAACCUUCGUUAAACCCGUUCCAUACACUGAAAAUGCUCUCACAAAUAUUGAACCAGUUGUUAAUGAUUCUCGUAUAAUUGAUGGUCAAUCUAAUGAUGUUGCUAAUAACAACUUGUCUGGUAUAAGCUUACAUCCUGCAGAUAAUACAAUAAGUCCAGAAAUUGUUGCAGAACAGGAAGCUGAGAACAGUCUGACCAAUUUCCAAGAACAGAUGUUCNNNNNNNNNNNNNNNNNNNNNNNNNNNNNNNNNNNNNNNNNNNNNNNNNNNNNNNNNNNNNNNNNNNNNNNNNNNNNNNNNNNNNNNNNNNNNNNNNNNNGAACAAGAUUGAAAAAUAACAUUGUCCAAGCAAAACAGUUCACUGAUGGUACUGUCAGAUAUUCAGAGACCUCAAGAAAGUUUACCGGUGCUGUCACUGUCAAAAAUCCGACCACAAUAAAUGUACUAAAAAAUGCUACUGAGACUGAUACAGUUACUGAACCUCAAAACCUGCAGGAAGCUCUACAAAGUCCAGGUUGGCAGGAAGCAAUGAAUAAUGAGCUCUCAGCAUUACAACACAAUGAGACUUGGGAUUUCGUUCCACCAAAACCUGGCAUAAAUCUCAUUGAUAGUCGAUGGGUGUAUAAAGUGAAAAGGAAAGCGGAUGAAUCAGUGGAGAGAUUGAAAGCAAGGUUGGUUGCUAAAGGGUUCAAGCAAAGAUUUGGCAUUGAUUACAUUGAUACCUUUAGCCCCGUGGUCAAGCCAUCAACAAUCAAAGUUAUUCUUUCACUAGCAGUAACCAAAGGCUGGAAUAUGAGACAAGUUGAUAUCCAAAAUGCAUUCUUGCAUGGAAUUUUGGAAGAGGAAGUGUACAUGCGACAACCAUCGGGAUUUCAAGACCCAUAUAAACCAAAGGAAUACAUAUGCAAACUCAAGAAAGCGCUUUAUGGCCUGAAACAGGCUCCAAAGGCUUGGCACUCAAGACUGACUGGAAAACUUAUGGAAUUAGGCUUUAGAGCUUCUGUAGCUGAUUCAUCUUUGUUUAUCCUCAAAAACAAAGAGGUAACCAUCUAUAUGCUCAUAUACGUUGAUGAUAUAAUUAUCGUGAGCUCCUCUGAUCAAGCCACCGAAAGGUUGAUUCAGAAGUUGAAAAUAGAUUUUGCUAUAAAAGACUUAGGUGGUCUUGAGUAUUUUCUGGGUAUUGAAGUCAAGAAGGCAAGAGAUGGCAUCACANNNNNNNNNNNNNNNNNNNNNNNNNNNNNNNNNNNNNNNNNNNNNNNNNNNNNNNNNNNNNNNNNNNNNNNNNNNNNNNNNNNNNNNNNNNNNNNNNNNNAAAUUAUUCAAAGAGCAGGGAACACUCUUGUCAAUUGAAGAACAAUUUAAAUACAGAAGUACUGUGGGAGCAUUGCAAUACUUGACAAUGACCAGGCCUGAUUUGGCAUUUGCUGUCAACAAGGUUUGCCAAUACCUUCAUACGCCUACUGAUGCUCAUUGGAGUGUUGUAAAGAGAAUCCUUCGUUAUGUCAAGGGCACAUUAGAUUUGGGAAUCAGAAUUCAGAAGUCUCCAACAAUGCUGCUGUCCGGAUUUUCUGAUGCUGAUUGGGCUGGUUGUCCUGAUGAUCGACGUUCAACUAGCGGCUUUGCUGUAUUUCUUGGAGCAAAUCUAAUUUCUUGGAGCUCUAGAAAACAAACCACAGUGUCCAGAUCGAGCACCGAAGCAGAAUACAAGGCCAUUGCGAAUCUGACAGCAGAAAUGAUUUGGAUAAAAUCAUUAUUGAAAGAGCUUGGUGUGUAUCAAUCAAAAGCUCCUCGACUCUGGUGUGACAAUCUAGGAGCUACAUACUUAACUUCAAAUCCAGUGUUUCAUGCAAGAACAAAACAUAUUGAAGUUGACUUCCAUUUUGUUCGAGAACAAGUGGCACGCAAAGCAAUGGAAGUUCAGUUUAUUUCAUCAAGUGAUCAAGUGGCUGAUAUCCUAACAAAACCACUGUCUAGAACUCUCUUUAUUACACAUUGUAACAAUCUCAACAUGUAUAAAACCUGUUGGGAUUGAAGGGGACUGUUAGAAUUAGUCAGUUAGAAGUGGAACACGUUUGUAGAAGUGGAACACGUUAGUUGGUUAGUUGCCUUAAGAAGCGGAUCAUGGAUCCAACCGUGUAUGCAAUCAGUUACCUUUCUUUAAUUAUAAAUACAAUACGUCCUCCACAUAGAGAGGUACAGUUAGCAAACUUUAUUAGAGCUGAAUCGGUAACAUCAUCAAGAAUGAGGAGAACCUUUGUCCGUUUGAGCCUUUCAUUGUAAUAUGGUGAAGAAGAGGAUUUCUCUUCCUUUAGAAGCUCAGACUGAUAUUUUGUUCUGAUACUGUCUAUUCCAUCUCUUUGUAUUUUUUCUUGAACGUCUAAAACAAGGCUGCUGGAAUCAAACUGCAAUGCCAAUUUGUGAUAUAUUUGAUUACAAAUUGUAGUUUUUCCUAUUCCUCCCAUGCCACAAAUUCCUAUGAUCCGAACAUCCGGUGACUCAAGAUGCAACAAGGACUGAAUUCCUUCAAUAUGUUUUUCAAUGCCGAUGAUUCCUUGAUCAUAACUGAUGGAAUAACGAUUCAAUUUUUUCAACAAGUGUGUGUUCUGUGCUGGCAGAUGAUUUAGAAAAUAAUGUAUAAGUAUUCAAGCACAAAAGCUAAACUAAAGAAAAAUUCUACAGCAUCCGUUUGUGACUUCUGAUACUAGGGAGAAGACUUGUAGGUACAAAGUUAAGCUAUAACAUGUAAUAUGGUUCAGAUCUAAGACCGACUAAUAGAAAUGAAAAAAGAAGCACUUGAUUUAGGGUGAGAUGAACACAAUUUUAGUAAAUGAAAAGAGAUCCUGAUUAUCUGGAAAGUGCGUGACCUGGUGACUUUUGAAUCCCAGCCUGCAAGUUCAGCAGCUUCGGUGAGAGCAUCCUUCCAUCCUUGCACUUUAUCGUGCUUAAAGUGCUGCUCAUGCUUUUCGAAUGCUUCUUUGUAUCUUUGUUCCUGCUUCCUAAUAGUUGAUGGAUCCACCUUGUAGAAAACAGGUAUGACAUCCCUUCCAAAUCUCUUCUUGCAUUCAAGUAUCUUAGUGAGUUCAUUCAAGCACCAAGUGGAAGAUGCAUAGUCUUGGGAGAAAACGAUGACAUAAAUCUUUGAAAAAUAAGUAUGAAAUCUAGAUAUAUAUCAUUAUCACGUGUGGAAGCUACGUCGUCUUGUAUUGGAUUUUCUAAUCUGCCUUUUAUCUUGUCUCAUUCUUCUUUAUCUUUUUUCUCUCAUCUCUCUUGCUUACGAUUUCUUUGCCUUUAUUCAGAAAUUUUAGUUAUAAUAAACCUUCAAUAAUAUUUGUACUUUCUAGCAUAUAGAAUACUUAAUGGAUCCUUUUCUGAUUUUUCUUUUCUAAAGUUCAAUUGAUUUUUUAAAUGUUUUUCUAUUUAAUUUUCCUUUCUUAAUGACACAUAAAAUGGUUCAGUGCACAAUUAAUUAUUCUCACCUUAGAUUUCAUUCAUCUCAUUCCAUUUCCACACUCAAAUCAUUCUCACAUUUGUUUCUACCUGUUUCACAAAGUUUUAGUUAAAAUAUGGAAAUUAAUGUUCAAGAACCCUACUUAAUAUUAAUAUUCAACAAUUUAAAAUAUUAAAAUGCAAAUUAAUCUUUCUUAAUAAUGUCAUUUUUAUGUAAAAAAUAAAAUGUAGUUUAGUCAUUUAUACUUAGAUGGAUAAAGAUGAUUUUAGAAAAAAAAAAUGCAUUUUAUUUCAAAGGUUAACUAAACUCUGAACUCAUUUAUGAAUUAAUAAUAAUAAAUAAUAUGUAAUUGUAUUCCAAUACCAUAUAAAUUUUUUUUAUUGGGUGCGUUUCUGAUGAAUUAAUGCACUCUAGGGACAAUGAUCGCUCUAGUAUUUGAUUUUUUAUUUAUUUUAAUGUUAAAAUUAUAGCUAUGUAGUACAGAUAUUACUGACACAGACAGACACGAACACGGACACAGAAAUACAUAAAAUCUCUAAAAUGUAGAAUACGGAGACAUUAAUCUAUAUAUUAUAUAAUUAUGAAUCAUAUAAAUUAACAAUAAAGAUUUAUGUGCACAAGUAUUUUUGAGAUUAUUUUUUAGAACAGAAAUAUGUUUUUCAUGACUAGUUCACAAAUAUUUGUUUCUUAUUCUUAUAAUCAUAAUAACAAUUUAUACCAUAAAGUUUCAAUUUUAGAAAAUUAAUGUAUUUUUUCUUUUUAAAAUUUCGUUAGAACUGUACUAGAAUUGUAAAAAAUCUAACAAAUACAUUUUGAAUUGGACAUUCCACGAAUACGUGUCCUACCAGUAUUUUGAACAACAUUCUUUCUUUUGGAACAAAGAGGGCAUAUGCCGCAGUCUUUUACUGUGAUAACUCAUUUCAACUCUCACACAACUGAUUCGUAAUCUGUGGGAUGCAUUAAAGCCUUUUGCAGUUAAAUCAAUAGUAUAUGAUGAUGUGAAUGUUAUUUAUAUACUAAAUAUAAUCACAUAGUAACUUCAAAUUUGAUAAGGUACAACAUGUUACCAUAUCUCUUUUAAUUUAUUUUAUUUCAUUAUAUAUUUAGGUGUAUUUAAUUUCUUUUAUUUCAUUGUGUAUUUAGGUGUAUUACGUAAAAUAUAUAAUUAAAAAGAAAGAAGAAUAAUGUUAUUUUGAAAUUUAAAGAAGACAUAUAGAAAUAAACAAGCUUUUGCUAAGAUUCCACCAUUGAAAAGGAACAUAGAACAAUCUUGACAAUUAUACUUUGACUUAUUUUAAUUUCUUAUAUUUAUGAGUAUUAUUUUUUCUUAAACAUAGAUAUUGGAUAAAAAAUACAAAUAACAUUUCUUUAUUUCAAAUUUAAAAAUAUUUUAAAUUAAAAUAAAAUAAUUUUUUAAUUAAGAUAUAACAAAAUAUUCUUUAACAAAUUAUUUUAAUUUCAAAAUAAUUAAUUCAGAGGACGAUUGAAAAAAUAUUAAAUAUUAUAAUAAAGCUUCAAUAAUAUUUGUACUUUCUAGCAUAUAGAAUACUUAAUGGAUCCUUUUAUGAAUUUUCUUUUCUAAAGUACAAUUGAUUUUUUAAAUGUUUUUCUAUUUAAUUUUUCUUUCUUGACACAAAAUGUUCAGUGCACAAUUAAUUACUCACCUUAGAUUUCGUUCUUCUCUUUCCAUUUCCACACUCAAAUCAUUUUCACCUUUUUUUUCUUCUUAUUUCACAAAACUUUAAUUAAAAUAUGGAAAAUAAAGUUCAAGAACCCUGCUUAUAUAUUAAUAUUCAAAAAUUUAAAAUAUUAAUAUGCAAAUGAAUAUUUCUUAAUAAUUUUAUUUUGAUGUAAAAAAUAAAAUGUAGUUUAGUCAUUCAUACUUAGAUGGAUAAAGAUGGUUUUAGAAAAAAAAAAAGAAUAUGCAUUUUAUUUGAAAGGUUAUCUAAACUCUGAACUCACUGAUGAAUUAAUAAUAAUAAAUAAUAUGGAAUUCUAUUCCAAUACCAUAUAGGAUGGAGAAAAGUAAGAAGAGGAUUUACACAUUACCCUUUCAAAUGGAGCUCCUCAGGAUUUCAUAAUGCCUUCACUGCAAAUGCAACCCAAAUAUGCUAAAAAAGUUAAUGAAACUAUAUAUGAAGAGUUAAUGAAACUAAAUGGCGUGUGCUGAAAUUUUUGAUCCGAUAACCAUGCCCACAUUCAAAAAGUGAAAGGUUACUUUGCUUUAUAUUCCUUUGGGUGGUGCUACUUUUCAACUUGACAACAAAUUCCCAUUAUUGUGUGGUUAUCAAUUACCAUUUAACUUAUUCUCAUACCACAUUCACUAUAUAAUAGUCCAUCAUAAACCCCAAAAUUUGCACAUUUUCUAUUUGCAAGACAUCCAACAGACAAAGAAAACAUGUGAAACUGUGUAAUAAUGUGAGAACGUAAGAACUUACUUCAUCAUGAAAUCAAGCCAUGCCUGAGGGUUUUUUCUGAGAGCAUUCACCACAGGUGCAUAUUCAUGUGGCUGUAUCCCAUACUCAGCUAGUAUUUCUGCUACCUCUGCCGCUUCUUUUUUUGUCAAAAAACACAUAUUCAUUAUUAAUGUGCAAUCAAAUGGUAACGAAACUAUGUAGUACAAACACACACUGAUACGACACUAGGACGAACAUACGUAUAAUGUUACUCCUUCUAUGGAAAUGAAGGAUAUUCAGCAAUAACUUUUAAAACUCAUUACAUAGAAAUUUGCAUCAAGUUAUCAAAGUCUAUAGGAAUGAAUUUUCAAUUCAUGGAAACACAGAUAACAAAAAGUAAUAGAAAAAUAGAAAAAAAGUUGUCAAAUGAUUCUAUAAAAAAUUAACCUAUCAUGAAAAUCAAGAUGAUAGAAAAUAAAAUAAUGUGGCAUGAACAUCAAAAUCGUAUAAAAGCAUAAUAGAAGAACAGUGGAUACCAGUUUCUGGCACGGCGAUGAUUUCUUCUUGCUCUCUUUUCAAUUCCCUCGAGUAAUUAUCGGCUUCACUUUUUGCUGCCAAAUAACUGCACAAUGAAAAUUAACAUGAAAUAAUAACGGAAUUUAAAUUGAGUUUUGUGAGUGUGAAGAGUGUGGUUGAACGUACCCGCCGAGGCCCAUGGAGAUGGCGCCGGCGGCGACUUCCGCUAUGCCAGCGGUGAGAACGAUGGAGGAGGUGACAUUGGCGCCGGAGAGGCCGGCGGCGAGGGCGAAGGGGACGGUGAGGCCGUCGGAAACGCCGAUGAUGAUGUCGCGGACUAUUUCGCCGGCGGUGAAGUGCUUCUCGGUGUGGUGGUUGAGAAGGUUCGUUCUCUCAGAAUCCACGCUUAUGCCGUGUUCGGUGGCGGCCAUUGGUGCAAGCUUGUGAAUGUGUUUGAGUUCGCCAACGUGCUCUGGGAAUCCAAACAAAGCCUUGCUGCUUUGCACAUAAAUUGAGCCUCUUUUGUGCUCAACUUACUCCUAAAUAGAACAAAAAUAUCUAACCGUUGAUGAUAUCCACGUGGAAAAUUAUCAAUGGAUAUCAAUAUCACAUUAUUUCUACACUAAUAUUUUAAUUAUUUUUAAAUAUUAUAACUAAAUCAAUCAAUAUAAUACCAAAUCUUCUUAAUUCUUUGGAUUAUAUAUAUUUUAUUUUAUUUUAUUUAUAAAGGAAGUUGUGAUAAAUGUUGUGUUUUGUGUGCACAUUAAUAAAAAUCAAAUAACCAAAAAAUAAUAAUCUUGUGAAAGAAAAAAUGGUAGAAUUUAUACUAUUCUACAAAAUUUUAAAAGUGGCUAAUGUGUUUUACUCAACUAUGUAAAUAAUUUUGGACUCUCUUGUUAAGGAAAUAAUGAAAUACAUUAAAUUUUGUUUUAUACUCUUACUUUAAGUUUUUUUGUGUUUCUCCUGACUUAAUUAAAUAUCAGAGAGUCGUCUUUUGCAGGUAGAUUUCAUUCUAUCAUAAUAUACCAACUGAAAACUUGUUUUCUGAAAAACACACGGCUCUCACCGAAUUGCACUUUCCAAUUUUUUUUAAUAGAAAUAAUAAUAAUUAAGUAUUUGUGUUCUUAUAUUUAAUUUUUAAUAAAAAAAUUAUUCUUAUGUACUUCUAAAUUGAUAUAUUUUACCAAUGUCUAUUAACAAUGGGAAGAAGUUUAUACCUAACAAAACUAUUUAACAUGAUUUGUUUGUAAAUUAUAGAAGUAUGUGUAGAAAGAUAUAAAAUUAAUGUUUUAAGAGAAAUUUAAGCAACUUUCAUAAUAUAUUGUAGAUUAUUAGUUGAAUUUAUGGAAAUUAAAAAUAAAUUGUAGGUCACCACACUUCCACUUUUUUUUAAUGAUAUCAAAUCACAACUUUACAAUUUUCACUAAUUUUUAACCAAUAACAAAAGAACAUCUUAGAAGAAGUGUGUUUAAGAAUUUGAUGUUAACUCUCAUUGUUUUUUAAACUUAAAUCCAGCUUUAUUCUUCAACUUUUAAUUUUUAUACAUAUUUAAUUGUAUAUAUAGUUUUUAACUCUCUAAAAUCAAACAAUUUUAAUUCAUUAAAUAGGCAAUGUCAUGAGUGUUAAACUUUUAACAUUUUUCUAGUAAUUAAAUUACUUAUGAAGAUUCAACUAAUUCAAAAUUUAAUAUUUUUACAAUUUUUAUUAUAAUAUUCUUAAAAUAUAUUUUAAUAUUUUGUUUUUCAUGUUUGAAAUAUAAAUGUUUUAAAAAAUCAUUUUAAAUUAUUUUGUUUCUCAUCUUAUGUAAUAAAUUACUAUAAUAAUUACUAAAACAUUUAAUACCUAUACAUUUUUAAUGAGCAAAAACUAAUAAUGAAUUAUAACAAAUAAAAAACGUUUCUGGGCAACAAAAUAGUAAUUAAUAUGAAUUAUAACAAAUAAUGAACGUUUUGUGGUAAUUUGUUUCACUUUCAAAUAAGUUAGUACUUCGCCUGUUAUUUCAUAACGGUAGUUUUUUUAAAUAUAUUAAGAAAAAUGUUUAUUUUUUUAUUUUUAAUGCACUUUUAAGUAACUUGCCUAUUAUAUUAUAUUAUAUGGGUAUUAUAUAUAUAUAGGUAAGCACCAAAAAAUAAAUUUAAGGUAAAAGUGAUAUAAUUAAAAUAAAAUAAAUUAUUAUUAAAUAGAAAAUAUAUAUAAUUAAAAAAAUCAGUUAUUUAAGUUUUAUUUUAAAAUAAUUUUUGUAAAAAAAUUUUCUUUUUUUCCUUGUUCACGAUUUUAAAUUUUAUAUUCACUUGGUAGACAUGUUUUGCAUGUGGUGUUUGGGACUUAAAAGAAUAAUAUAUGUUAGUUCAAGAUCCUAAUGAUGUGUUUUUAAGAAGUUGGACUAUCUUUGUUUUUUUAAGAAGUUGAAGUCUUUUUAUGAAUACUUAUCUUUUUAAACAGGUAAGAUAAACUAGUUUUAUCUGUAAAACUUAAGUUAGAAUAUCUGAAUAUGAAAUGUGAUUCUUCAUAUGAUUAUGAUUGAAUGAUUCAAAAUUCAAGUAUAAAGUUUUAAGAAUCAUUAACUUAUGUUUUUUUUUUUGUGCUAUUUUUUUGAUUUUUUGCAAUGAUUGUGUGUUGCAUGUGAGCAAAUGAUGUUACAAGUUGUAAACCUAAAAAAAAAUCAUGAAAUUUUGUCUUUUUUAUUCUUUUGAUAUUUUAUCUUAAUGAUAUAUAUAUAUAUAUAUAUAUAUAUAUAUAUAUUUAAAAAUCUCUAUAUGAAAGGAUAGUAUUUUAUGAUAUAAUAAUAUGAUAAUGUAAAUGUUAUUUAUAUAAUAAAUAUCAUGAGAUAAUUUAAAUUUUGAUAAGAUAAAUGAAGAUGUUACAAUAUCUCUUUUAAUUUUUUUUUAUUUCAUUAUAUAUUUAGGCGUAUUUAAUUUCUUUUAUUUCAUUGUAUAUUUAGGUGUAUUACGUAAAAUAUAUAAUUAAAAAGAAAAAAUAAUGUUAUUUUGAAAUUUAAAGAAUGACGUAUAGAAAGAAACAAGCUUUUGUUAAAAUUCCACCAUUGAAAAGGAACAUAGAACAACACUCUUGACAAUUAUACUUUGACUUAGAUACUUAUUUUAAUUUAUUAUAUUCAUGAGUAUUAUUUUUUCUUAAACAUAGAUAUUGGAUAAAAAUUAAUAAAAUUUAUUUAUUUCAAAUUUAAAAAUAUUUAAAAUUAAAAUAAAAUAAUAUUUUUAAUUAAGAUAUAAAAAAAUAUUCUUUACAAAUUUUUUUAAUUUCAAAAUAAUUAAUUCAGAGGAUGAUUGAAAAAAUAUUAACAAUCUAUUUAUGCGUUUAUAGUAAACCUUCAAUAAUAUUUGUACUUUCUAGCAUAUAGAAUACUUACUGGAUUUCUUACUCUUUCUUUCUACACCUCUAUCCAUACUAAAUAUAAAAAUACCAUUUUAUUCUUUUUUCUCCACCCCUUGAAUUUGAAAUAAUAAGCCCAUGGAUUAUGUAAUCUGGAUAUAUUCCGGAUUAGUCAAUUUCAUAUUUAGAAAAGACUUUCGGAUUAUGUAAUCCAGAAGCUAAUAAAACAUCUGAAAAAAAGGCUUCCGGAUUACAUAAUCCGGAAGCUAAUCUUAUGUAUAGAAAAGACUUUCGCAUUAUGUAUUCCGGAAGCUAAUCACAAAAGACUUCUGGAUUACAUAAUCCAAACGCUAAUUCUAAAUCUAGAAAAAAGACUUCCGGAUUAUGUAAUCCGGAAUAUUAAAAAAGAUAUUUUUGAAAUACGAAAAAUUUAUGGGGGUGACACAAGAAGGUAUGGAGGUGCAGGAAGAAACAGCCUGGAUUCCUUUUGUGAUUUUUCUUUUCUAAAGUACAAUUGAUAUUUUAAAUGUUUUUCUAUUUAAUUUGUCUUUCUUAAAUGACACAUAAAAUGUUCAGUGCACAAUUAACUACUCACCUUAGAUUUCGUUCUUCUUUUUCCACUUCCACACUAAAAUCAUUUUCACAUUUUUUUUACCUAUUUCACAAAAAUUUAAUUCAAAAAUGGAAAUUAAAGUUCAAGAACCCUACUUAUAUAUUAACAUUCAACAAUUUAAAAUAUUAAUAUUCAAAUUAAUCUUUCUUAAUGUUAUGAAAAAUUUAAAAUGUAGUUUAGUCAUUCUUGGAUGGAAAAAGAUGGUUUUAGAAGAAAAAAAUGCAUUUUAUUUGAAAGGUUAUCUAAACUCUAAACUCAUUGAUGAAUUAAUAAUAAUAAAUAAUAUGGAAUUCUAUUGGAAUAGCAUAUAAAUGUUUUGUUGUUGAAACUGAUAAUUGGGUGCGUUUCUGAUGAAAUUAAUUAAUGCAGUCUAGGGACAAUUAUCGCUCUAGUAUUUCAUUUUUUUAUUUUUAACGUUGAAAUUAUAAUUAUACAAUUCCGUUUUUAGAUAUUAAAAUGAUAGUUUUCAUUUACAGAUUAAAAUAUUACUUGUUUCUUUUAAGAUUUUUUUGGUAUUAUAAUUAUUUGUUAGCUGAAUUGUUUUGCGUUAACAUGUUGUUUUCUUGGGCUAUGAUGUAAGCAAUAUAAAUGUUAUUUUUAAUGUAAGCAAUAAAAAUUAUGAGUAUUCAAAGUCGUGUAAUUACUUAAAAGAAUCAAGUGAUUUUUAAAAGAACUCACACGAUCAGUUUUAAUUUUGACGAUAAAAUAUAUUAGUUAUAUAUAUUUAUUCAAAAUUUCAAUUAUACUAUGCAUUUAUGGUUUUAUGCUUUUAGAGGAAUCAGUAACUUAGAAAAGCUCCCAAAAACUAAUGAAAUCCCAUGAAUGAAGAAGGAGAACAAAUGGAAGUGAAAAAUCAGUAAGAUGAUAAUUAAUAAACACCCUCUCUUAAUAACAUAACAUAGGAGUCUUUAAACUUAUAUUCUUCAAACAAUUAUAAGCUGUCUUCAACUUUACUGUUAAACUACAAUUAUAAAGAAUUAACAAUCUCACACACCAACAACAUUUAUAAGUCAUCACUCACAUGCAACAAGGUGUGCCUCAAUGUGAAAAAACCAAGAUCAAUAAGAAAUGAGGUUCCACUUAACCAAGCUGAGAAUUGUCUGGUUUUCCAGCUCCAUGCACAAACCUAAUACAAUGAUAUGAUAUUCAAUACCAAGAGGUACCUUGUCGUAAAACUGAGAAUAUGAGGUUGCAUAGGAUGGAGAAAAGUAAGAAGAGGAUUUACCAAUUACCCUUUCAAAUGCAGCUCCUCAAGAUUUCAUAAUCCCUUCACUGCAAAUGCAACCCAAAUAUGUUAAAGAAGUUAAUGAAACCGAAAUAUGAAGAGUUUCAAAAUAAAAAUUUAACAUGUUGAAACUUGUAAUUUAGAAGUAUUGACUAUAAGGCAGUUUAGAUCCUGACCAAUGAAAGACUAAUAAGCAGAAGAGGAAGAGACUAGUUGACUGGCUAGCUUUCGGCCUUCCACUUCCUAUCUUCCCUUGUUUCUCUUGAAGACUGUGCAACAUUGCUUCCACUGGAUUCUUCAAUCUCAACAGCACCACCAUAUUCAUCAUCUUUCUUUUUCGUAUAAAGAGGGCAUAUGCCGCAUUCUUUUAUUGUGAUAACUGAUUUCAACUCUCUCACAACUGAUUCGUAAUCUGGCCACCCAAAGUCAUAAUCACACGGACUGAUCUCAAAAGUGAAGCUGCGAGCAUCACAUAGCCUGAGGCUCAUGCCGCUCGCCCUUAGGGACUCCAAGUUAAAUUUCCACACGAAUGUGUGAUCUUUAUCAACACAUCUCUCUUCACCAUUCCAUUUGAAAUAGCUGUUUAACACAUCAUUAUUUGGAAUGAUCUGUGUGCCAUCAUCAUCAGAUUCAAAUGUUAGGCUGUAACUAAAAGAACCAUAUCUACCAUUCAUAGCAUACGUAUCUAACACUCCAAAAACCACACUCAAAGCGAAACCAGUGAGCCUAUCAUCGCUGCAGAAACUUAAAUCUUCAUUUAUAGUCACUGAAUGUCCCUUCCCACGAAAAUUGAACCAACCAGGAACUGCACUCCCUGGAAAACAGAAGAACACACACCUAUAUGCAUCGUCGGUCAUCCUAAGCCUUGCAUCCUCCUCAAUGUUAGCACGACCACCUGAAUCCAGUUGUUGAGCAUUGGUGAAAUGAAAUUUAAAUACACCCUCUUCGGAAUUUGAGAGGUUUCGAACAAGAGAAUUUGGCAUCACUCUUCUAAUGGAUGGGCAAUCCAAUGCCACGAGUUGUUUCAGAAAUGGUGGAAUCUGUGGGAUGCAUUCAAGCUUUUUGCAGUCGCUUAAAUCAAGCGAUUUCAAACUUGAAAGAUGAGCAAUGCUCCCAGGAAGGUUCACGAUUCCGCUAUUACGCAGUGAAAGUUUCAUUAAUGACGUCAAACGACCAAUGUGUCUAGGGAUUUCUGUUAAUUUGGGGCACCCCGAACAAUCAAGUUUAGAGAGAAGCUUCAGAUUAACAAUGCAGUUUGGAAGUGAGUCGAGAUCAGUGCAUUUGUGGAGCUCCAGGGAUCGAAGAUUAACCAAAUUGCCAAAUGAGGAAGGCAAUUCUUUAACAGCCGUAGAUGUUAAGUUAAUGUGAGCAAAAGUAUGAGCCGGCUCCGUGAUCUCUGGGAAGGACCUCAGCCUUGAGCAACCACCUAAAUCAAACUUCCUCAAUUUCAAAUUGAAAAUGGUGCUUGGAAAAGUUUGAAGUGAAUUACAGUGGGUAAGGUCUAACUUGCAUAGUCUGGUGAGGGUUCCAAUGGAAGAUGGAAUAAUCUGAAGAUUGAAGCAACUGCGCAAACUCAGUUGUUGAAGCCCUACCAAACGGCACAAGGAUGAAGGUAGUGCCUGUAUGGCUGUGUCGUCUAAGAUGAGCACCGCUAGAUCUUCCAACGUGUCCUGAAUCUGGGGUAAAUAUUCCAAUUUUGAGCAACCACGGAGAGAAAGUUGCUUUAGGAAUUUCAUAUCAGAAAGGUCAAACGGAAAGAUUGUAAGGGAAGAACAGUCAGAGAGAUCUAAGUAACAGAGGUUCUUGAGACUUUGAAAGUUCAAGGGCACACCUCCUCUGAGAUUUGCCGACACUUCAAAUUGUAAGUAUAGAGUAUUAUUAGCCACUUCUUCAU
rnacentral:lncRNA from 1 species